rnacentral:lncRNA from 1 species
UAUUUAUCCCUCUCCUAUUAGCCACAGUAUUUAGUGUUUCCCACACGUCCAAAUCAGGAAACCUCAGCUUUGCUUCAAAGAGUCCACCGUAAACUCCACUCAAGUAUGUUCUAUUUUCAGCUGAGGGUAUUAUCUCCAUCCCUUCAGGUGUCCAUUCAAUCCCAGAACCCUUCGCCAAGGCAAUGGUAAUGGUGUCAUCAAUAUCUAGAGAAGGAAAUCUAUUUUGUGCCUCAAGAACUCCAUCUGUCAUUCCUUCAUACCAUAAUUCCAACGUUAUUGCUUCCUCUUCCUCACUUUCCUUUUGGCCAUUGGUUGGAGCUUCUUUUACAAUCACGGGAUCCUCAGUCACACCUUCAUCAGUUUCUAUGUCCGUAUGGAGAGUAAGUAAGAUGGCACGUGCUUCAAGGACUCCUCCCCUAACUCCAUUCAAGUAUAUUGCACUCAUCACAUCUUCAAACUCCUCUGAUUCCUGGAACCCUUCAACCCCACCAUCGUAUAGCUUCCCUAAUUCUUCACAUCUUCCUUUCAAAACAACACUAACCUUCUCAUACUUUGCCACACGAUCAAGUUUCUCUUGACUCUUCCCAACAAACUUAUCAUAUUGAUUUUUCCCAGAGCUGGCUGUGUUCUGAGCAGCAUUUUCAUUUUCAUUUUCAAGUUGUGCAAAUUUGUCACGCAGAGCUUGGUGUUCCUCCUUCAACUUCCAAAAGAGCUUACUCUUGACCUCCGGUUCCAAAGUACUCUGUUGCUUCAUCAUCAUGAAUAUUUGCAUCAGGGGGUCGUGAGGAGGUGUCCCUGUAGUCCAAUCCAAAUGUGGAAGCCUCAGCUUUGCUUCAUUGGGUGAUCCAAAAGUUUGUCUAAUCCCUUUCCUUUUUGCCACAGUAUUAAUUGUUGGCCACAUGUCCAAAUCAGGAAACCUCAGCUUUGCUUCUAAGAGUCCACUGUAAAUUCCAUUCAUGUAUGUCCUAGUUUCAAUUGAUGUUUGCGCUUCAUCUUCAGGUCUCCAUCUAUUCCUAUAACCCUUCUCCAAAGCAGCUCUUAUGGUUUCCAUAAUAUCAAGAGAAGGAAAUCUAUUCUGUGCCUCAAGAAGUCCAUCCGUCAUUCCUUCAUCAAAUAUCUCUCUCACUAUUUCUUCCAUCUGAUGAUCAUAGCCUUCCUCCUCACUUCCCGUAUGGCCAGAGGUUGAAGCUUCUUCUACAUUAUGCACUGGAUCCUUUAGUCUUACCAACGCUAGUUCACCUAUGAUAAUAACUUUAGGCUUUCCAUCAUCAUUUUUUAGCGCAUCUAGAAUCUGCCUCAGCUUGGAUCUUGGAUCUUCUAAAGCUGACCCUUUUGAUUUUAAUGCAUCCUCAGCAUCCUGGGAUAUUCUCUUUAGUUCUCCCAAUACAAUUUGCAUGGUAUGGUCUUCAAGCGUUCCUUCAACCCCCCGUCUUUCUUUUUUGUCCAGCCAUUCCUUCAACGUCUUCCUAAAUGAUUCGUCCAGACCUAAACUCUCUAUGGUCAUUUUAUAUUCCUCCAUAGGAUCUUUCGUACGAACUAUUGUUAGUGGCAUCUCGUCUGAAUACACGAGAUCGGGAGAAGUGAAUAGGAGAUCAUCCAUUUUGGUUUCGUCUUCAUACACAAAAGCUCCCCAACCACUUAUCACGAAGGAGGAAGUGGCUGUAUACGCAAUCUGCACCAGAUUCCACUCCUUCUUCAUCAGAAGUCGGUCAAGGCCAAGCCACUCCUUGUCACUGAACAAAACUCGUAGAUCAAAGAUCAAGAUGUGUUCUGCUUCAAUUCUGAAUUUGCGAGACCUUUUGCAAGGAACAUAUUGACCGUUGAUAAGUAAACGCAGAUCAACAACGCGGCGACGAGCAAAUUUGUCCCUUUCACUCUCAUCUUGGAAGUGGAAGAUCAUGGCCAGAGCAAUGUUAGGGAACUUCUUACGAACCCAGAAACGAGGAUACCUUUGGACACCCACAUAGUUAAACCAUUCUGGAAUCUCAGUUGUAAAUGGCAUCACCACUUCUAUUCCACGUACCCCUUCCUUCUUCACCUAUCAGAUUAUUAUAACACUUUCAAUUGUAACUUCUAUAUUUAUUUUAGAAAUUUUGUAAAAUAUUAUUUUCCUAAAAUAAUGGUACGAGAUUUAACUUAAGUAAUAAAGUCAUGAUACCUGACGCCAUAGCAUGUCUGAUGUCUCUCUAGUUAAGUCGAAACAAAGUCUUCGUCUACUUUCUGAACAGUUGACGACAACUCUGAAAUUUCUUCAAGGUUGAAACAAUGAUGAACAUCAAGAAUUCUCAAGUUAGUGAAUUCAGGAAUUUUUUUAAGCUUCUUACAUUCAGUCAAAUCGAGACUUGUCAAGUCACCACAUUCCUUGAUGAUGAAGGGAUAAAAAUAAAAUUAUUCUCUGAAGCAAUCAAUUCUUUUAAUUUUGGAAAGUAGCAAAAAAUUGCAAGAAGAUCUUCAUCAGACAAGUUACCAUUUUCGACAUUCAGUGAUCGUAAUUUUGGACGAACAUUGGCUUUUGAAGGGUUUUGCACCAAACUUCUGAAGGAUUCUCGAAGUUUGGAGCAUGCUUCGAUUUUGAGGGAAACAACAUUGGGCAACAUGAAUAAGCUACUUGGUAGAUAUUUAAGUUCCCUGUUAUUUGAUAUGUCUAUACAGACAAGCCCAGUAAGCUUACCAAUGGAUUCUGGAAGCUCUUGAAUAGCAGUAUUUAUCAUAUAAAUCUUCAAUGGCUUUGUCAUUUCUUGCCUUAUCUCUGGGAAGUGACCAAGGCUUUCACAUAAAUUAAGGUCAAAGAAUUCUAAAGACGGUAGAAACAUUUCAGACAUGAAAUUUUUGAGUUUUGUGCAAUCUGAAACACUUAAAUGAGCAAGACUUUUCAGGAAACCAACAGAUCCAUGUACUGCAGUUAGCUCUCUACAAUGAUCAAGUCUCAGUUCUCUUAGAUUCUGAAGUUCAGACACAUCAGGUAUUUCUUUGAUACUUUGGUUAUAUGAAAAGUCCAUAAUAGUCAAGCAUGGAAAUUUCUGCCAAAUGGAAAGUCAAUAAAAAUUAUUAUUUGGAACAACAGUUAUUAACUUACUAAUGUGAAUAAAAUAUGGAAGUUUUUGUUCAAUGAAAAAUUGAAACUUCAAAAAUAGGAAAAUAUGAUAUAGAAUUGUACCUUAAAUGGUUCUUCCAAUGUUAGACGACUUCGAGGCAAAUUGAAAACAACAAUUUUCUUCGGAUGAAAUUUUGGUGGGAAAGACUUUGAAGGAUACUCUUCCCAGUCAAGCAGUCUUAAAUGAUUUGGUAAAUGUUCAAGUUCAGAUGAAAAUGAUGUGUUUCGAACAAUGAGAAUUCUGAGCCUUUUCAUCUUCUCAAACUCAGUUCCACUCCAAUUUACUUCUUCUCGCUGCGGAGGAUUAAGCAUAAUCCCUUGAAUCUUAUCACUUCCCUUUAACACAAGUACAAAGAAACAACAUCAAUUGCAUAUUUUCAGUAAUAUAAAAUACUAUAAUGUAUAAAUCGAAAACAAAGAAAGUAAAAGGGUAGAUGAUUACAUAAUCUUCUGUUAGAAUUUCAGUAACAUCUUCAUAAUACCAUAUUCUGCUACGUUCACCAGGAUUUGUUGAUUCCUGCUUAACAAUCUCUCUUCCCAUAUCUUGUAUUAGAUCAUGCAUCUUCAGGCAGUCAUACUCGAUAGUUAUGAGAGAUUUAUUAAGAAGUACUUUCAUGUUGGAUGUUGAACGAAAUUCCUCAAGUAUCUUUUUCACAUAUUCCGUUCUCUCCCCUUUAAAGAAGCAAGCUAUGUCCAAGAAAAUUUGUUUGGCAUUAUUAUCCAAUCUAUCGUAGCUUAUUUGAAGCACAUCUUGAAUCUUUUUAUUUGGAGUCUUCUCAUAUUCUUCCAUUGCCAUUUCCCAAUCUUCUAAACUUUCAUGAAAAGUAGCUAAAUCAGAGCCUAUGACUUUUAAAGCCAGUGGAAGACCUUUGGUGUAAUCUACAGCACGCACAGACACAUCUUCAAAACCUGUUUUAGGAUAACUUUGUCUGAAGGCAUUCCAACAAAAUAGCUCUAAAGAAUGUUGGUCAUCAAGUUCCUUCUUUUCAUAAAUAUUUCCAACUUGGUGAGCAAUUAGCACAUCUUUUUCCCUUGUCGUUACAAUGAUCCUACUACCUGAACCAAACCAAUUACACCCUCCUGCCAACUUUUCUAACUGAUCUUUAUCACCAACGUCAUCAAGAACCAAAAGAACUUUCUUUUUCUGAAGCUUUUCUUUUAUUUCACGCAUUCCUUUACUUGUGCUUCCCAAUUCAGUUUCCAACCCCUCCAACAUCUCAGAUAAAAGUGUCUUUUGUAGAUCUUCCAUGCCAUUGAUUCUGUUUGAUUUUUCUCUAACAUCGGAAAGAAAACUUGCUGCAUCAAAGUGUUGCACAAUUUUGUCAUACAAAGCUUUGGCAAGUUCCGUUUUUCCAAUUCCACCAAGUCCAUAUAUGCCCAACAUUCUUACAGUUUUAUCAUCAGCCUUCAUUUCCAAUUCAUUUCCAAAAGUGACAUAACUUCUUCUAUGCAGGCGUCAAGUCCAACAGGGUUUUGACCACUAUAUAAAGGUUUAGGAGUUAUAUAUUCCUUGACCUUCCCAACAAUUUCUUCAAUACAAUAGCUUUCAUCAUUCCUAUAAGAGUAGAAUGUAAUAAUUAAUUAUUUGUUUGAUAUCAUGAUUUUUUUUUAUUAUUGUACUAAGUGAUUGUGAUUAUUGUACUAGAUAGUAAGCAAUGAUAAUCAUAGCAAGUAGCACAAAAGAAUAAUGAUUACACAUUAUACAAAAUUUACUGGAGAUGAAAAAGUUAAAGAAAUUUUAUUCUAAACAAAAAAUUCAAUAAUUUAUAAAGAAAAAUACCUAAAUAUAAUAUCAAAUUCUAUUAAAAAAUGGAAUUUUUUCCACUUUGGAUUUUUUAUUAGUAUUUUUAUAUUUUAAAUUAUUUUUUAUAGUGUUCAGAAUUAUACUUUAUGACUAACAAAAUCAAUUAACACCCUGAAAAAAUCUAAAAUUUUAGAUGUAGAAUAUUAUAUAUAAGAAACUACACAUGAUAUAAACAUUACAUCCCAUUAUAAUUAAGAUGUAGAAUAUUAUAUAUAACAAACUACACGUGAUAAAAACAAUACUGCAUACCAUAAAGUAUAUUACUUGAAUCAUAUUUGUUUGUGAAAAGUAAAGUUCUACAUAAGAUCAACUUACUUUGGGUGUUUAACCUUUUAUAAAAGGCUAUAAUUAUUUUUUAACUAAAUUAUUUUUUUUUGGAUGACAGAAAAAUUAAGAGAGAAAAAGUAUUUUUUCUUUUAAAUUUCCCUUACCAAUUGUAUUUUUUUUUUUUUAUAUCUAAGAAAAGUAAAGUCUUAUGAUAGUCAUGUUAGUAAUGACUUCCAACAAAGUUCGAAUAUGAGAAAUGAAGGCAUUGAUAUUAAGGACUUACUACUAAAAAAAUUAUGAAAUAGAAAUCAAUUUUAAAGACAAAAAAUAAUUAGUUGUUUUAGUGAUUAAAUUAGAAGAUAAUUUUAGAAACUAACAAAUUUUUUGGUUUCUAAAUUAGUUUUUAUUGUUGGUAAAUAAUUUUUAAAUUGGUAUUUAAUUAGCUACCAAAGUUUUAACUAUCAAUUAUUUAGAUUCUAAAUUUGGUAGAAAAAUCUUAGUAGCUAUUAUUAGAUACCAAUUUAGAAACCAAUUAACAAUAAUAGAAACUAAUUUAAAAAUCAAUUUUUUUUAGUUUCUAAAAUGGUCUCUAAUUUAGUCACUGUAACAAUUAAUUAUUUUUUUUCUCUAAAAUUGAUUUCUAUUUCAUGAUUUUCUUAUAGUGUCGGCAUCAAUAAACAAGAUUUUAGAAAUACAAAAUCUAAGGAGGUAUUGAAGGAACCCAAGAGAACAACAUGGUACUCAUUGAGAAAAUAUUGUUAGAGUUUACAGUGUUCAAUAAACGCAAUUGAUGGUGGAAGUGAGAAACAACCAAGGGACAAAAAGAUAAUCGAGACUCUUUACUACGCUCUGUGUGAAAGAACCCACUACAACAACGUUAAUUGAAGUUAACAACUCAUACCAUUAGCAACUUUGCAUCUGACUCUGCUAUUAAUAAUAGCAAUAGACUUUUUUGUUACGAAAUGGAAGUGUAGAGGAUAUUAGGUUAUGUGAAUUGGAUUAGGAAAUCAGAAUUAAAUUUACAGUGUAGGAUGAAAAUAUUUUAAAGAUGAUUGAGACAAUGAAGGAAAAAGAUUGCGAGAUGAAAAUAUUAAAGGGGGAGAAGAUAGAAUCCAAUUAAUGAAGAUAAUAUGUUUAAACAUUGUAGAGGAAUUGAUUAAUAAGGAGGAGGUUGUGGCAGUAUCUUACAAGAAAUCAAAUUAGAAAUAGUCAAUAAAGAAAGAUGCUACAAUAUAAUAAACAAUGAUAUAGAAUGGGAACAUUUUGUAGUUGUAAAUGGGGUACAGGAAAUUUUAACUAUGUGGCAUAAGGAUACUUUCAUAUGUGAAACUUUGGUUAUAAAUACAAGUUUUUUUAGGGGUUAAAGGAAGCUAGAAAAAGAAUAAUAGGUCAAUAGUAAUAGUGAAUGUGUACUCCCCUUGUAACUAUAGUGAUAAGCUAGUAAUUUUGGAUGAAAUAGUAAGAUUAAGAUAGGAAGAAGAAUGCAACAUCUAGUGUGUAUGGGAGAAUUUUGACGUAAUAAGAAAUUUAGAUGAAAGAAGAGGUAUAAAUCAAGAUGGUUAGAGGGAUACAAUAGAAAUUAAUGAAUUUAUAUAAAAUACUGAAAUCAUGGAUAUUCCUCCACUAGGUAGAAAAUUUACUUCGUAUUCAAAUGGAACUGCAAAAAUAGGUUUCAAAAAAUUUUAUUCUCACAAGAAUGAUCGGAACAAUGGUCUCGAAGAAAACAAUACAUUGUGUUAAAUUCCAUACAAAUAACACUACAAGAAAAUCAAGAAAUAAAAACUAAUUUUUAAUGACAAAAUAAUUUAGAUACCAAUUUAAUCUAACAUGUUUAAUCUUUUUCUAGAAGGUGAAGAUGCUACCCUCAAUACAACAUUUUGCAUGAAAGGUAAUAAAGAUUAAAUCAUGUAGCAACAAAAGAAAACUGGAGGAGUAAGGGAGUAAUGAUAGAUAAUGUUUUUUUGCCCUAUGUGCAUAUUAACGGAGCAACUCGUUAACCAUUUUUUCUUUAGAUGCAACAUUGUAGGUUGUGUGAAAUACGUGCAACAAGUAGGUUGGAGUAAGUACUCCUAUUAAAAAAUCAUGUAAAAUUGAACUUCCAACAAUUCUACUUGUCAGAAAUGAUGACAAAGGAAAUAGGAUAUGGAUGUGUCUGUGGGUAGAGAUCAUUUGAAAUAUAUAGAAUCAUAGGAAUAGAAUUAUCUUUAAGAAUGGAACCGUAUAUGCGUAAGAGAUAUUGUUUUUGACACAGACAAAAUAUGAGCUUGAAUAAGGAAUAAAUCUCUGAAAUUGACUUUCGCAUAUUCUUAUUGGUGUAUAUAUGCCCAACAACUUGCAUAAAACCCCUAUCUAAGUAAUAUGGUAUACUCACCCCAAUGGAGAUAUGUAAUUGUUAUCAAUUAUAAGUUAUUUUCAAUAUUGACUACUAUACAAAGACCUUGAACUGUGCUUAGAUGGGUAUUCCGUUUACCUACUUGGGCCUAGAAGUGGGAGGAAAUCCAAGGAAGAAAAACUUCUGAGAGCCUAUUUUGAACAAGCUGAACUCGAGGCUCAAUGUGUGGAAAGGGAGAUUCUUAUCUAAGGCAUGAAGAAUUUGUUUAAUAAAAUUUGUUAUCACGGCCAAUCCACUUUACUACCUGUCUUUGUUUAGAGCUCCGGAGUCGGUAUGCAAAUGCAUCAUCAGUAUCCAAAGGAGGUUUCUGUGGGGUUGGGGAAAGGAGAAGAGACCGAUCUCAUGGGUUAGUUGGAAAAUCUUAUGUAAACCGAGAGAGGAAGGAGGGCUGGGCCUCAGAGACAUUUGAAAGUUUAAUAAUGCGCUAUUGGCUAAGUGGAGAUGGCGGUGUAUCUCUAAUGAGAAAGGAAGGUGGAAGGAGUGCUUGGACUCAAAGUAUGGCAUGAAACUCGAUACCUCUCAAACAUCAGUGAAACUACAAUCCUAUUGGUGGAGAGAUUUAUUGAAGGUUUGUAAGGAGGGAAGAGGAGAUGAAUGGUUUCAAGAAGAAGUCGGAUGGAAGCUAGGGAGUGGAGACAAAGCAAGAUUCUGGGAGGGUGUGUGGGUUGGAAACUCUACUAUCAAAACUUUAUUCCCCAGAUUGUACUCACUGUCGUUGAACAAAGGUCAAAAGAUGGAAGAGGUAGGUGUGUGAGAAGAAUCGGCGUGGCGGUAGACCUUAAGGUGGAGGCGUGGUAGAUUUGAGUGGGAAACCCCGAUCGAAAUAGAGCUUGGUAUGCACAUCUCCAAGGUCAAUGUAUUCAAGGAAGAGAAGGAUGCCUAGGUGUGGAGAGGUGAUGAAUCUGGGUGCUUUACGGUGAGUUCUUCUUAUGGAUGCCUAGCAAAGUCUGAAAGGGCCCCCCAAAUUGAUGCGUUCAAGUAUCUAUGGAAGAUUAAGGCGUUCCUAAAUGUGACGAUCUCUGCCUAGAGGGUACUGCUGGGUAGAAUGCCAACAAUAGAGUGUUUGCGUAGGAGAGGGGUGAUGUUGAACACUACAGAUUGCGCCUUAUGUCAGACCACAGAAGAGUCCUGUCAACACCUCUUCCUAGAAUGUAAACAUGCCUUGUGUGUUUGGUCUUUGUGCUUUAAAUGGAUUGGAAUCUUAUUUGUCCUACAUAAAGAUCUUAUAACUCACUUUGAGAGCUUCCACUUGACUCAGAGUAGUAAUAAACAAAACUUGGUUUGAAAAGGGGUAUGGGCAGCUAUAGUCCGGUGUAUGUGGGAGCAUAGAAACUCAGUUGUGUUUAACCAAGGAGUUGCAAAUGCAGAAAAAGUGUUCCAAAAGGCCUAACUUAAAUCGUGGUUAUGGAUGAAGCAUAAGGCACAUAAUUUUAACUACUUUUUGCAUAUUAGGUUUUGAAUCCAAUGUCCUGCAUUAGUAGCUAUAAGUAAGUGGCUUUAGGUGGAGCCAAGAUGCCCUGGAGGAGGAGGGAGGGCAGUGUUGCUUUUCCUUGGAGGAGGUAGGAAGCAAGAAGUGGUCUGGUUCUGAAAGAGGUGGGUGGAGUAGCGGAUUCGUUGCAGAAUCUGUAAGCAGGGGCAGUUCACUUGAUGUAGGUUUUUGGACACACAAAGCUGUCUUGGAUGUAGUAGUCCAUAAGCUUUUGGUGUAAAAGAUAACUGCAAUAUGCAUAGUUUUUGUGGCUUCAUUUUGGAUACUGGAUGGUGGAUUGUAGGUUAUUGAUAUUCAAGAUUAAUAACCUUGGUCUACGAGUUAUGCCUAAACAGUUGUAGGGGAAUUUAUCAACUUCUAUGUAGGAAAACCAGUUUGUGGGUGUUGUCUGUGCUGUUGUAGGUCUGACAAGAUAGCUGAGUUGUCUAAGGAACUGAGGAAAAAGAGGUGUAGGCAGUGCAGGUGUUUUGGUGCCCAUGUGAAGGAAAAUGAAGAUAUACUCUCUUAAAUAUUUUCAUGGAGCUUGCAGCAACCAUAGAAGGGCUGAUGGAGUUUUUUAUGGAAUGUCUAAUUCAAUGGUUGAGGUAGCAGGAAAAGUCUAACGUUUACCACUUUAACAAGGGUCAUCAGCGGCAACGCAGACCUUUGUUGUUGGUGCAUUAGUUGGCUACUAACACCUUAUUCAAGGGGGUUUAUAUGACCAGUGAAACAAGCUCCAAGGAGGUCUCUUUUUGUGGUUGUUGUUACUGUCUGAAGAGGUUUUUUUUUCUUUUUUUCUGGUUUUUUACACGAAGAGGCAGGGUAGAUUCAAACCACAUGGUUUUUGGAAGUAAAACCCAUGGUAAUAUGAUGUUUGGAGCGGCUGUCUGUAGUGAUGGUUUUAAAGAUGGUCUUUAAACCUGAAGUGGCUGGUUUACCUUGUAUGGAGCCUCACUUCUCACAUCUCAUGUGCUGCUAGUACUGGUUUGCUGGUUUGUGUUGGAGCUGUUGGCUGGGUGCAAGUGAAUUUCACUGGUUUACAAUAAGGGGCCAUCAAAUGUAGGAGGAUUCAUCUAUACUCUUGAAUUGUAGCUUGGCCUUAAAAGCUUUAUUCAAGGGGUAUUUUUUUGUCAAAUUUGUGCGUUAGAUGCAAGGCAGAUUUCAAUCAAAUGCAGUGGAUUGUUGGCCUGUACAUGGAGCCCCGAAUGAUGCACCUGUUGUGAUGCCAAAACUGGGUUGGGAAAGGGUUGCUAGUUGGUGCUCCAAGCAUGAGGCAAUCAAGUGCAGCAAGUUCUUUUCUCCUAUGUUUGGAUGCAUUGUUGGUGUGAUGUGGACCUCAAACAUGGAGCUGCUGGUUCUCUUUUUGAUGAUCUGUUUGGGUCUGGUGUGGACCUCUAAUGGGCUGGGGGAUUUGUGGGUUACUACUACAGUAAGUAUGCUUUGGUAGCAAACUGCUGUUGUUUUUUGUUUCCGUUUUGUAUACCGGUUGAGCCACCCUUGAAGUGGUCACCUUUAUUUCAAUUAAUUCUUUGCCGAUAAAAAAAAAUUAUAAGUUAUUUUCAAGUUUGAAUCGUAUAAAUAAAGUAGUAAGGGUUGAGAUUUCUCGAGUACCAUAUAUAUCAAUGAUGUAAAACCUUAUGUACGUCAUAUGUAAAAAAAACUAGGCAUUAAAUAAGGAGUGACAACGAUUAAUAUAAGUUUAUGGUAGAUCUUGGUGGAAUCUCACGCACUGUAUUAUGUUUUAAAGGAUCAAAAUACUUAAAAUACAUAUGAUAUUUAUUAAAUGGUAUCUAUUAAUGACUAUGUGUGCAUUCAUUACACGAAAAAUUCAAUUAUUAUUUAUAAAUAUUAUUUUAUUCCAAUUUUUAUGAUUAUUAUUAACAAUUAUAAUUAAAGUUAAAACUAAACUGUAGCAGGUGGAACACGAUGCCAAGUUCCUUAAGGAAUGUUCAAAGAAACUUUAACAUUACACCGUUAAAGUUUUGUUGUCACAUUAUGAUUAUUAAUAUACUUAUUAGUAAGAUUAUCAAUAUUAAUAUAAUUAAUAAUAUAAAAAUUAUUAACAUGAUUAAAUAUUAUUAAAAAUUAUUAAUAUUAUUAAUAUUAUUAAUAUUAUUAUAUUAUUAAUAUUAUUAAAUACUUAUAUUAUUAAUUUUAUUAUUACUAAUAUUAUUAAUUUUAUUAUAUUAUUAAUAUUAUUAAAUACUUAUAUUAUUAAUUUUAUUAUUACUAAUAUUAUUAAUUUUAUUAUAUUAUUAAUAUCAUUAAUAUUACUAAUUUUUUAUUAUUAUUAAUAUUAUUCAUAUAUUAUUAUAUUAAUAUUAUUAAUUUUAUAAUAUUAAUAAUAUGUUAUAUUUAUUAGUUAUGAUUAUUAUUAUUAUUUAUGAUUUUAUAAUUAAUUAUAUAAUAAUAAUAUUUUUAAUAUUAUGUAUAUAGUUAUUAUGAUAAUAGUUGGUAGAUAAUAGAGAUCCGUGUGUAAAAGUUCGUAGGUAAUAAGAUCCGUGGAUAAAAGUUUGUAGGUAAUAAGAUUCAUGGGUAAAAGUUUGUAGAUAAGAAGAUCUGUGGAUAAUAGUUAGUAGGUAAUGCUGAAUUUAUCUACAGAUUCAGAUCUGUAGAUAAUAUUAGUAGGUAAUGUUGUUCGUAGAUAAUAUCCAUAAAUAAUACUGAAUUUAGUUACGAAUUAAAAUUCGUAAAUAAAAUUCAUAAAUAAUACUAUUUUUUUUAUAGUAAUUCAUACAGGAAUAACAAUAUAAUGUUAUAAUUUUGUCUAGUACAAAAAUUGAAAACAUGCCAACUAUCCAAACGUUCGAUACUAUUAUUUUCUAUUUAGAUUUAUAAACAAAUAUUAUAAUUUCAUUUCUGUCAGUAAAAGUAACAUUAUUAAUUUUUAUUUUAUUUUAGUUGUGAAUUAUUAUUCCAUAAAAUACAUGAUUUUUUUCGAGAUUUGGGAUGAAAAAGAAAUAAGAUUUAAUGCUUUGUUAUCGUAAUUACAUACAUACCCGUCUUUAAUAUGCUUCCCUGGGAAGUCACCUGCUUGAGACAAUGCUGAUCUCCAAGCCUGCAUUCUCUGUGAUUCUUUUCCAAUCUUAUUUUCUUGUGCCUUCAUGUGUUUUCCGAAGCUAUUUCUCUCGUGCCGUAUAUCUGAGGGAUUUACAUGGUAAAACACUGGGUAAACAAGCUGCUUCUUCUCCUUCAUCUUGCUGCGUUCUAUGAUCCUAACAAGUUCAUCCAGACACCAUGUGGAAGAUGCAUAGUUCUCAGAAAACACAACGAUCAAAAUCCUAGAUUCUUCAAUGGCCUUCGACAGAGCAGGUGAAAGACUUUCCCCUAUCCUCAUGUUCUUAUCAUCCCUGAAAUCUUUUAUUCCCUUCCUACCUAACUCUCUACGCAGAUGCCCAAUAAAAUUGUACCUUAUAUCUUCCCCUCUAAAACUGAUGAACACAUCAUAUGUGAAACCAAGACACUCUUCUUCCUCACCAUGUUUUCCCAUGUUACAAACAAGCCAAAACUACUCUAAGGAUGAUCAACUACUUUGAUCAAUUUAGUGUGUUGUGAUUAAAUACAGUGUCUUACGCGGAUACACGCUUUCCUGUAAUUAUUACAAGAUGUCCCGACCAAGAUAUACUAAUGGGAAGAUAAAUAAUUUACGUGGUGCAUAUUUAAUGUGUUUUAAAUUGCACAGGACUAGUAUCUUGACCCGUGACCCGUGUAAUGCACGGAAAUUUUUUUAAAAUAUAAUAUUUACAUGUAUUACAUUAAAUUUGUUUUUCUCCCGUAUAUUAAAAUUAAAUGAAUUGGUAGAAUGUAUGAUAAUUAUAAAUCAAAAUUACAUCAAUUAUUAAUAAAUAAUACACUACAAGAAAAUCAUGAAAUAGAAACCAAUUUUAGAAACAAAAAUAAUUAGUUGUUAUAGUGACUAAAUUAAAAACUAUUUUAGGGACUAAAUAAAUUUUUGGUUUCUAAAUUAAUUUUUAUUAUUGUUAAAUAGUUUCUAAAUUGGUAUCUAAUUAGCAACCAAAGUUUUUGCUACCAAAUUUAGAAUCUAAAUAAUUGAUAGUUAAAACUUUGGUUGCUAAUUAGAUACCAAUUUAGAAACUAUUUAACAAUAAUAGAAACUAAUUUAGAAACUAACUUUUUUUUUAGUUUCUAAAAUGGUCUCUAAUUUAGUUAUUAUUACAACUAAUUAUUUUGGUUUCUAAAAAAUGGUUUCUAUUUGAUGAUUUUCUUGUAGUAAUAUAAAAAUAGAUAAAAUUGACGAAAAAUAAAAGUAAUAUGACCAAAAUUAUUGAUCAAUUUAGGAUAAUGAUAGAGUCUCUCCUUUAAAUAUCAGAUUUUCAUGAAGAUUUGUAAUGUUACAAAAAUAAUUAAAUAAGACUUAUUAAAUACAAAAUCAACUCAUUGUCAAUUAUUUUGGAAGUGUUUUUCUCAAUCAAAAUUAUAUCAUAGACGAUGUUUUGUAUAUUCCUUGCUUCAAUUUUAAUCUUCUUUCAGUAACAAAAUUGAUUGAUAAAUUAUCUUGUGUUCUUACUUUUGACUCUAAUGGUUGUCACAUUCAAGACAAAAACUCCUUGAAAAUGAUUGGCUCUGCUAAGAUGCAAGAUAGACUUUAUAUACUCAGGAUCCCAUCUUGCUAGAAACUUAAAAUCAAACCCAUCGAAUCUACACACACCAUCAAUAUUGUUAAUGUCAGUGCUAGUGAUCUAGAAACCCUUUGGCAUUUUCGAUUAGGUCAUAUUUAAAAUAAAUGUAUUGAUGUUAUCAAGAAUAAAUUUCCUUUCGUUAAAUAUAACAAAUAUUUUGUUUGUGAUGUUUGUCAUUUUGCAAAGCAAAAAAGGCUUUCAUUUCCUAUUAGUACAUCUAAAUCAAAAAAAUGAUUUGAUUUGAUUCAUGUAGAUAUUUGGGGACCAUACUCAAUACCAUCAAUUCAUGGUCAUAAAUAUUUCUUGAUCAUAGUUGAUGACUAUUCGAGGUACACAUGGAUUUUUCUUUUAAAACGCAAAUCUGAAGUUGUUAAGGCUUUGGAAAAUUUUGUUGUUUUUGUUCAAACACAAUUUGAGACAGCGAUAAAAAUAAUAAGAAGUGAUAAUGAGACUGAAUUUUUCAUGACUAUUUUUUUUUGUCAAUAAAGGAAUAGUACAUCAAACAUCAUGUGUCAAUACUCCACAACAAAAUAGUAUAGUUGAAAGGAAACAUGGUCAUUUAUUAGAUGUAACAAGAGCUCUUAUGAUACAAUCUCAUUUACCCAAAAUUUAUUGGUCAUAUUCUGUGAUACAUGCUAUGCAUAUUAUAAACAUGCUUCCCACACUUGUUUUAAACUAUUCUUCUCCUGAUGAAAUGCUUUACAAAACUGAUGCAAAUUUUAAUGGAUUAAAGGUGUUUGGUUCUUUAUGUUAUGCUAGCACUUUGUCAACAAAUAGAAGAAAAUUCGAUCAAAGGGCAUCAAAAUGUGUUUUUAUUGGUUUUAAAAAAGGGACAAAAGGAUAUAUUUUAUUGAAUAUUCAAUCAAGAUAAAUUUUUGUUUAUAGGGACGUUGUCUUUUAUGAACAUGUUNNNNNNNNNNNNNNNNNNNNNNNNNNNNNNNNNNNNNNNNNNNNNNNNNNNNNNNNNNNNNNNNNNNNNNNNNNNNNNNNNNNNNNNNNNNNNNNNNNNNNNNNNNNNNNNNNNNNNNNNNNNNNNNNNNNNNNNNNNNAGUCACACAUUGAGGUUCCAGAAGAAGUUUGUUCCCAUAUAGACCAAAACCUCAAUGAAGAUCAUGACAUAGAACAAAAUUCUGAAUCAGAUCAAUCUGUCCAAAUGAGUACAAGAAUAUAAAGACCACCUGAGUAUUUAAAGGAUUAUCAUUGUAAUCUUAAUGUUUCCAAUACAUCUUCAAGAGUUAAAUAUCAUUUGAAUUAUGUUUUGUCUUAUAAAAAUUUAUCACCUUCUUACAAAUCUUUUGUUAUGUCUCUUUCUUCACAUGUUGAGGCAAAUACUUAUUUUGAAGCUGUGAAACAUGACUGCUGGAGAAAAGCUAUACAAUGUGAGAUAUUUGCUUUAGAGUCAAAUCAAACUUGGGAGACUCUUGUUCUGCCUAAGGACAAAGCUACCAUAGGUUCCAAAUGGGUAUUCAAAAUAAAAUAUAAGGUUGAUGCAGACAAUUGAAAGGUAUAAAAUAUUUGCUUAUACUGGAAGUGUUCCUUUCAUAGAUAUUCAAGCCUACAGAAGAUUGAUUGGAAGGCUUAUGUAUCUCACUAAUACCCGACCUGACAUAACAUUUUCUGUGCAACAACUUUCUCAGUUUCUUGCUAAGCCUACAAUUGCUCACUAUACUGCAGCGAUUAGAAUUCUCAGAUAUAUUAAAGAAGCUCCAAGUCUUGGUUUAUUUUUCUCUUCCAACACUUAUGCUCAUCUCAAAGCCUUUUGUGAUAGUGAUUGGGGCACCUGCAGUGAUUCAAGACAAUCAAUGACUGGUUUUAGUGUGUAUCUUGGUAAUUCUCUCAUAUCCUGGAAAUCAAAGAAGCAAAACACGAUAUCAAGGAGUUCUUGUGAAGCUGAAUACAGGGCAAUGGUCACUGUUACAUGUGAAAUUCAAUGGCUAACUUAUCUUCUUCAAGAUUUCAAAGUUCCUUUUGAGCAACCAUCUCUUUUAUACUGUGACAAUGACUCGGCAAGAUACAUUGCAACAAAUCUAGUGUUUCACGACCGUAAAAAACAUGUUCAUACCAACCAAAUUAUAAAGGAGAAGAAACUUGUUAUUACAAAAAAAAAAUGAUUAUAAAUUGUUAAAUUCAUCUUCAUAUAUUAGAACAAAGAGAAGAAGUAAGAAUAGUUUUGAAUUACAAAAUUUUCAUACCACAUAUGUAUGACUGUAAGAUAUUUUCAUCUUCACAUAUUAGUGAUCAGUACGCUUGCCCCCAGACUCGAGGAAUGUUUACUUUAUAAGAGUCUAAAUGUGACUGUUGGGUGCUUCGAUGUAUGAAGUGACUUCUUGUCCUUCUUUGAAGGCUGACUGAACGACUUUAUUGCUUUUGAUCUUUUCAGUAGUUGUUUGAAUGCCUUUAUGGACACUUGUAUAGUUUUAAACAAUGUAUGUUGAAUGAUCGUUAGGACUAAGAUCCUUUGGACGUCGCUCAGGCUUUUGAAUUGCUUUACAAUUUUGAAUGCCAAGUGCAUGCUGGAAUCAAUACAACUUAAAUAAGCCGAUUCUUUAAUAGAUUGAAUGCUGACCUGAUACUUGAAUCAAAAUAAUUUAAAUAUGUGGAGCCUUUAACAGAUUGAAUGCUGACUUGAUACUGAAUCAAUAUGAUUUAAAUAAGUUGUUUUGAGCUUCAGAUAGGUUGAACACCGAUCGAAUGUUGAAGAUUGUUAUUUUAAUACAAUUUCCUUAAUCGAAACAAACUUUAUUUUAACCGUUCGGGAGGGAUUGCCUCAUGGGGGCAAAGCUUCCUUAGCCGAACGAUAUUGAUUAAGGAUAUCGGUAAGGAUUGUCGUUUUAAGGCAAAACUUCCUUAACUGUAUAAGAGCAUUGCACGUUGGUUCGGGAAGGGCUGCUAUUUAUUAAGCAAGUUGCCUUGGUCGAAGAGUUUGUUUGAAAAUGGCUGCUAAUUGUUAAGCAAGCUGCUUUGGCCGAAGAGUUGCAUGCAGUGUCGCGUUCGUUCGACAAGGACUGCUAAUUGUUAAGCAAGUUGCCUUGACCAAAUGAUGUUUGGAAUUUUGUCAUAAUUGAAAACUUUUUAGAUGUGUGGAAGUUACAAUGAGAUGAGGAAGUCUUCACUUGUUGUCCAUACUCCAACGAUCAUGUGUAAGAGCAUAAAAUAUAUCAGUGCUGUAUGUAUUGCAUAAAAUAAUACUUAUCUUAUUCUUGGGGGUCAUCCUUUAAUUAUAGAGUUUUGGCUGAUCUCCUAUCAUUAGUCUUUUUUCAACAAAAUAAUAUCACAACAUAUUUAAAUAUUAACAAUCACAUCUGUUAUCUUCAUAAUACUAUGAUAACAUAUUUAAAUAAUAGCAAUCAUAUAUGUUAUCUUCAAAAUAAUAUGAUAACAAAUUUAAAUAAUAACAAUCAUAUCUUUUAUGUUUAGAAUAAUAUCACAAAAGAUUUAAAUAAUAACAAUAAUAUCUUUUAUGUUUAAAAUAAUCACAAAAUAUUUAAAUAAUAAUAAUCAUAUCUUUUAUGUUUGGAAUAAUAUCACAAAAUAUUGAAAUAAUAACAAUCAUAUCUUUUAUCUUCAUAAUAAUAUCACAACAUAUUUAAUGAUAAAAAUAAUUUUUCCGAUUACCUCACAUCGGGUUUAUAUUCGAUUAAGAUCAUAUCGGUCAAUGUUCAAACCUUUCCAAUUAGGAGGAAUUUGUGCUUCCAUGAUUUGAUCAGUAAAGGAAUGUCCUUUAAGUUUCUCUUCCAAAAUAAUAUUGUGUUUCGAUUGGUGAAGCCUGGAUGAUUGAUGAGUCUGAGUUUAAAGGAUGGUCGUCUUCUAUUGAUUACGUGUGUCCUCAGAUUUGUUUGGGGAGGCGGGUCUUCUAGCUUCAGGAUAUGGCUUUUGGCCCUUGGUUCAGGUAUGAUCCCGACCAGUUGUUGUUGGUUCAUUUGAUCAUUCUAUUCUCAGAGGAUUCAUAUCUCCUUCUCGUUCUUCUGGCGCAUGAUUCGCAUCUCCUCCUUGUUCUUUUGGACCAUCUUCGCCAUCUCUUUAUAAGGUCUGGAACAUAGCCAUUUUCUUGGCCUCCAUCAUUUUCUCGCCUUCCAUCUGCCUUGUUAAUACCAUUUGCUACUCUUCAAUACUAUUUUGGCUCCACGAUGGGCGCCAAUUGUACUUGUAUAGACUGGUAGGGCCUAGAUAGUACAUGGAUUUGGAUGUAAUAAUUGUCUUUGAUCUCUCGAUCGCUCCUCCUUCAUCCUUCUCGUACUCGCUCCUUCGUGCCUGGUCGGGAGUUAACUUGCAAAAGGUUCUCCAACAAUCAAAUAAGUACUCUAUGUUAAGAGUGUAUAAUGAAACUGAUAAAAAAGUACCUUACUCCUCUAUAAAGGGUUUAUUUAUAGUAUUUGGUUAUGGACCCUCUUUUACGAUAAGCCAAAUCUAUUAAAUAUUAGUGAUAAUUUAUUUAUAGGGAGGUUCCCUGAUUUCUCGAGAUGUUACUCGGAUUUGGUGGGAUGUGCCCCUGAUUCUCAGGGAGUCUCUGUAACUGCCUUAAAUGCUAUUUAUUAUAACUACUUUAAAUAUAUUCUAACCCUACUUAAAUGCUUCGCCUGCACUCUCCAUUUAUGAGCUGCCUGUUGUAUCUUUGCUCUGCCUUUUAGCUCUUUUAUGGUAUCCAACUGAAAACCCCACCCCUUUUUCGAUGCUUCCUGUGAGAAAUCCUCCACUCGCUUAGACGGGAUUUCCUGUGAAUAACUUUACUAUCAUCUUCCUACUCUUUUUGAACAAAUUUUAAAAAUAUGAUUGGACAUGUAAUUUUAUGUUCUAACAUUAUGUUAAUAUCAUGCUACUAUGUACUAACAUUACGCUAUGUUUUUAGAUCAUUACUUUCCUUCAUUAUUUUGCUUAACAUAUCGCUAUGGAAUGUAUACAAAUAUUAGUCCCACCACUAUGCACAACACUUGAUAAUCAUCGACAUGCCAACAUAAAGUUAUGUUUAUAUACAUAUUCAUAAAAAUGAUGUUUCCUUCAUGGUUUUUUUCUUCAAGUGGAUCGAGAUCAUGCUCGACACCAUGGAGGGUUAAGACCUUUUCAUGGUUUUCUUUCAAGUGGUCUGAGAUCAUGCUCGAUACCAUAAAGGGUUAAGACCCUUUCAUGAUUUUUUCUUCAAAUGGACCGAGAUUAUGCUUGGCACCAUGGAGGGUUAAGACUCCUUCAUGGUUUUUUCCUCAAGUGGACCGAGAUCAUGCUCGACACCUGAGAUCAUGCUCGGUACCAUAGAGGGUUAAAACCCUUUCAUGUUUUUUUUCUUCAAAUGUAAAAGCAUAACACUUUUAUCGAUCCCUUACACAUUGUACUCCUAACAAUCCUGAACAAUCAUAUCUAUAAACCCCUGAAAUAAUUCGAGUCGUAUAUAAACAUAAAGCAAAAUAAUAAAUUGUUUAACAAUACACUAAAUCCACACUAAAUCCAAACCAUAUUAACUAUAAUAAAAACGCAGAUUCGCCACAUUUCAAGUUUGCGGAAUAACUCCACCAUCCAAUGUCUCCAAAUGGUAUGCUGCCCUACCGACCACCUCACAGAUUCGGUAAGGCCCGAUCCAAUGAGGUGCCAACUUGUUGUCCUUGUUUAUUUCCCCUGCCUUUCUUAGUACCAAAUCCUUCUCUUUAAACUCUCUUGGAAACACCCUACUUAAAUGCUUCGCCUCCACUCUCCUUUUCUGAGCCGCCUGUUGUAUCUUUGCCCUGCCUUUCAACUCUUUUAUGGUAUCCAACUGAAAACCCCGCCCUUUUUUCUAUGCUUCCUGUGAGAAAUCCUCCACCUGCUUAGACGAGAUUUCCAACUCGAUGGGUAACACCACGUCACUGCCAUAAACCAAACUGAAAGACAUUUCUUUCGUAGUUGAUUGCUUCGUUGUGUGGUAUGACUAUAUUACCGCGGAAGAAGCUCGAUCCACCUUUAGCCGCUCCUAACUUCUUCUUCAAACCCUACAAUAUUAUUUUAUUUGUUGCUUCUAGUUGCCCAUUUAUUUGAGGGUGCUAUACUGAUGAAAAUAUUUUUCGAGUUCCCAACUCUUCACACAUGUGCCUCACUUUCCCUACUCGCAAAUUGCGCUCUGUCCGACACCAAUUCCCUUGGCACACCGAAUCUACAUACAAUAGACUUUCAAAUAAACUUAGAUAUUUUUUCUGUCGUGAUGGUCGUUAGUGGCUCAGCCUCGACCCAUUUUGUAAAAUACUCAAUUACAACCACAAUGAAUUUAAAUUGCCUUACUGACAUAGGAAAAUGUCCUAAUAUAUCAAUUUCCCACUUCUGGAAGGGGCAUGAAGAAAUUAUGGAAUACAAAUGCUUAGCUGAUACGCCAAUAUUAUUUGAAUGCCUUUGGCACCUAUCACAUUUUUUGACAUACCCAAGACAAUCCUCCCUUAGCGUAGGCCAAUAAAACCCCGCCCUAAUUAUUUUUAAUGCCAAUGAUUGUCCGUCAGUGUGACUCUCACAAACACCCUCCUGCACCUCCUCCAUGAUCCUAUUUUGUUGUAGCUCCCCAACGCAUCGUAAUAACGGUAUUGGGAAGCCUUUUCUGUACAACACCCCAUUAACGAUGACAUACCGUGUUGCAUUUUUCUUAAUAACUUAUAUUCCUCUGAAUCCAAUUGUUCCUCCCCUUCCUUCAACCACUCUUCAUAAACAUCCAUCCAACUUUGCUUACCUCUUAUUUCCAAUACCUCCACCGUCACACUUGGUGAUUCAAGGUUCUCAUGAAUGACCGACCAAUGAUUUCCCGACCUCUUGGUACUUGCCAAUUUCGACAAAAAAUCUGCUUGAGCAUUCUGGUCUCGAGAAACAUACAUCAACCCAAACUCUUCAAACAAGACCACCAUGGAACGCACCUUGGCCAAAUAUUUGACCAAAUGCGAAUCCUUAGCUUGGAAAUUUCCUACUACUUGCACGGUUACCACUUGAGAGUCACUCCUUACUAUCAUUCUUCUAACUUCCAUAUUUGUUGCUAAGUGCAUCCCUACGAUUAAAGCCUUGUAUUCGGCCUGGUUGUUGCUUACUUUAAAUGAAAAUUUUAAUGACUGUCCAACCAACACACUGUCCGACCCUUCCAAUAUCCAAUCAGCUGGUCCUAGGGUCAACAAUCAAACAAUGACACAUAAAAUUUGGAUCCACCCCUGGCAUAUCGUGCAAUGAUCAUGCAAAAACACUCAAAUUAUCUCCCAAAUACUCUACCAACCUCCUUUCUUCUUUUUCCUCCAACUUGCUACCUAUCUUUAAACUUCUCCCCCCAUCCGACUUUAUGACCUUAAUGUCUUCCAUCGGUUGUGGCUGUUCAUCCUUAUAAUCAACCCUUGGAUCUCACUCUACCCCCUCCAAAUUCCUAUCCUCCCGUUCUACCUGCAUACAUCUCCUUCUAUUUUUAGACUUCCUUUGUAACACUUUCUUGCUGCCCUCUGAUAUACUAUUAACACCCCAAUUGUCCCCUCAUCCAUAGGAUACUUCACAUUCAUAUGGAUCGAUGAUACUAUUGCUCCUAACUUAUUUAUUAUCGGUCUUCCCAACAGUUCAUUAUAAGAAGAAGUGGUGUUUACAAUCAUGUACCUUAUUAUAAUUGAUUUGGCCUUCUCUCCUUCCCCAAACAUCGUCUUGGCCUCAAGAUACCCCCGAACUUGCACCGGGUCGCCCGAAAAUCCAACCAAAACUCUGUCAUAUGGUUCCAAAUCGUCCAACGAUCCUCCCAUAGUGAUAAAAUCAUCCUAAAACAAAAUAUCUGUUGAACUCCCUUGAUCCACUAGCACCCUAUGAAUUUUUCGGCUCCACAUUACCACCGAUAUCACCACAAGGUCAUUAGCAUGUGGGAAACGUCAUUUAAGUCGUCCUCUAUAAAGUUUAAAGACGACAUACACACUUCCUCGAUUGACAAAACCAUCACCGACCGAGCACUUGAUCUACCGCCACCCGAGAAUCCUCCCGAAAUUGUGUUCAAUUCCCCUAACGUUGGUUUCUCAUGAUUACCUUCCACCUACCUCCCUCCUCAACUCUUCCUUCCUUAUCCGAUCCUUCUUUUUUUCUACCUGUCUCUCCUCCCCUCCUUCUCUUGCCAUGAAAACUUUUAACAAUCCCUGUCUUAGCAACCCUUCAAUUUGCCUUGAAAGGAUGUAACAAUCUCCAGUUCAUGCCCGUAUGUUCUAUGGAAGUAACACCAAACAUUUUUGUUUCCUCCCAUAUGUUUUGUUGUCUUUUCUGGGAAGCACAAAAGUCUAGUCGUGUUCACAUCUUUAACAAUUUCCUCCUGAGAUGCCACCAAUUUUGGUGACACCCACUCCGGUCUUCCCAACCUCCUUUCAUUCACUGGUUUAAAACCUCCAUACGACCCACCAAACCUCCACUUAUCCCUUUUCCCUUUCAAAGGUUUGCCUCUAUUACUGACAGGUUGUAUACCGACCACCGACCCUUCAGUCCUCAUUUCUUCAUCUAACUUCUUUAUGGUAAACUCUUCUACUUUUAUGUGAGACACUGCCUUAAUGUUGAUGGCUGUCAUGUCUUCUAGUCUUCUUUGGACUAGUGACUCACCAAAUGUUCCUACCCUAAGCCCUCUAAUAAAGGCUUCCACAAACAUGCCUUCAUUAGGCAUAGGAAUUUGUACCACCACCUCAUUGGAACGCUGCAAAAACUGUUUUAUUGACUCAUUUUUCGCAUGUUUUACCUAAAACAAAUCUGCCACCUCUAGAGGCUUUGCUUUGUUUGCUACAAAGUGGGCAACAAACAACCCGGUGAAGACUUCUAGCGACAUGAUGAAUACACCUAGCAUAUUACUAAACCAAUUCAGCGCCAUUCCAACUAAAGUGCUAGCCAACAUCUAUCGGACAAACUCUGGUCCUCUACAAAUCAACAUCUGAUGUGAGCAUUAGGAUCCUGCUUUCCACUGAACAUCCCCAUUUUUGGGAAUUCAUAACCCGAAGAAAUUGGCUCUCCCAAGAUUUCUUCUGAGAAUGGUUGGAAAUCUGUCUCCACCUCCUACUGUCAUUGACCCUUUAUAUUCUGGCCCUCAAUUUGCCGUCGAAGCUCCUCAUUUCUCCUUUGUAUCAUUUCUUGCACUCUCGCAGAUUCCUCCAUCCUAGCCCUCACUUCUGCACUCUCCCUCCUGAAAUCCUCGUGAGCCCUCCUGAAUUCUUCCACCCUUUCCUCAUUUUGCCUCCUCAUAACCUCCAUCAUUUCCAUCAGAACAUGAGUUGCAUCAAGCAGUGGCGCUCCAUUCGCCUCUUCCUCUGGUGCCGCUCUUCGUGUGCCCCGCAUAAUGCUCAGUAAUUUGUAACUAAAAUUGAUAUGGCAUAGGAAAGUUUUACUUGUCCCACGGUGGGUGCCAAAAUGUUCUAGAUAAGAGUAUUAGUGAACUCAAACCUAGAAUAUUUAGAGUGACAAAAAAUAAGUGUACUCUUAACUUAGUAAGUGAUCUGUCUUUUCCUCUUGUGUACCCUCUAAUAUACUAAAAUCUCUUCGCUACCUAUUAUGUAUCCAACCUUCUUAUUGGCCUGAUUCUAUAAUAAAUUGCGCUGAUGACCUUAAUUACACCAAUUGGUUCAUGACCUUAAAGUUAGACGAUUCACGAUGCUACACUAAUAAAGUAGUGUGUACGGAAAAAAGAGUCGUAUAACGAUACAACUUUAACUAAUAAAUAAUAAAAAAUUACUUUAAUUGCCACUUUUAUGCAAAAUGUUAUCUCCCAGUAUUGAGGAAAUUAUCUCUAAUUAAUAGGAACCAUUGUAUAAACUAUUUUGACUUGCAAUGCAAGCUCGAUUUUGCAUUUUAUUUAUUUAUUUAUUUAUUUUAAAUUGAUUUGUUUACAAAUAGAAAAUAACAUUAUUUUUUUAGAUUUUUAAGGUUACACACAUCAUUACAAAAAAGAAAGAACAUUUCCAAAAAAAAAAACAAUUGACAUAGAGAGUACAAUUUAACGACAUUAUCUUGUUGAACACAAUUAACGUAAGCUCUCUAUAUUUUAUAAAACUUUGUGUUUUUGAAUUUAGAAUGCAAGUUAGGCUAUAUAGCCGUACAAACCCAAAACAAAAAUAAGAAAAUAUCACACCUGCACCCACUAAUUCAUGUACAAAAUAAUGGGUGGUUUCCUAACAACCAUAUUCCUAAUAAUUAGGCUAGUAAUUAACCACUUAUUUGAUGACUUUUUACGGCAAGUGCACCGCGUUUGUCAGAAGUAAUAAUUGUCUCUAAGGACGGAUAUCAAUCCCACAAGGAACACUGAAUUAUCGAGUACAAUAAUCGCUAAAUAUAAAAACAGAACAACUAAAAGAGUUUUUGAAUUAAUUGUGUUGGCAUUGAUCAAUAAGAAAACAGACAAAGAAUUAGUUGUUUCAAUUGGAAAAAUAAGGAUUAGUUUCAUCUCUCUCACCCUUAAGUAUUUUGAUUAGCAUGUCAAUAUUAAGUUCUUUGAUUGAAAUUGAUGCCCGUAUAAAAAUAAUUUAUAUCGAUUCCUCGCAUAUAAAAUCCUUAAGAAUGUCCCCUAACUAUCGAUCCCUCGCAUAAUUAUAAGAACAACUUAGAACGAAGCUCAGACGUUUAAUUGCAAUUAACAUUUCAAGUCUAUUCCUAGCACUCAAAUAUGUUAAGUAUUGUUGUUUAGGUCCAAACCCUAAAAAUACCUCCCGGUCAGAUUUAAGAUUCUCAAUUUGUCACGGAAAAUUAAAAGUAAAACAACAAUACCAAUCAUCAAUCAAGAACUGAAUAUUAAUAUAUAAGAUAUCAUCUCAAUACAUAAGAGUUUGAGCAGAUUACCCAAUCCUAAAGGGUAGAAUUAGCCACGCAUACUUCUAGCACCUUCCAUUCUCCCAAUUGGGUUACAAUUCACUUUAUGGUGUUUUCCUCUCAAUCUGGCACUCUAGGGUUGAGCCUCUAGCCCUCUAUUUAUCCUAGUUUUCUAGGGUUAGGUUGCUUCAUGUGUCACGCUAAUGGGCUAAAUGAUAAAACAUAAAAAAACCCAAUAUUUCUUUGCAUCUUUUUCCAUUCUGGGACCUUCCGGCUUUAUCUUUUUAGCUCAAAUUAUUCUCCUUUAUUUCAAAUCUUCAAUCUUUCCUAUAAAUCUGCAAUUAACACCAAAUUUAGGAAUAAAAUGCUCUUAUUCAAAUAAAGCUCAUAAAAAUGUAAAAAGGUAUAAAUUUAUAAAUUAGGGAUUAUUUUAUAUGUAAAUUAGCAAUAGAUCCUCAUAAGUGCCUAUAUUUUAAUAUGAAACAUUAAUGAAAUUAAGCACUUAUCAAUAAUGGGUGGUUUCCUAACAACUAUAUUCCUAAUAAUUAGACUAGUAAUUGACCACUUAUUUGAAACAGAAAAACAACUCUACUUAAUUAAAUAAAUUAAAAAACAACAAUUGAAAUUCUAACUGCUGCUAACAUUCCCUCCCUUAAACUAGAUGCAAUAGCAUUUAGUUUAAUUAUGAUGCUUCAAUUAUGCCCAACAUAUUGCGAAACCUUAAGAAUUGCUCCAAUUUGUGGGGCUUGGUCAUGAUAUCAGCAACAUGAUCCUGUGAACUGUAGUAACUUAACUUGACAACUCCAUACCAAAACGUGAUAGCACUUCAUGAACAUAUUUCUUCUGACAUACAAAAAUUCCAUUUGAACUCUGCAUAAUUUCAACUCCAAGAGAAUAUCUCAUUCUUCCUAAAUCAUUGAUAUCAAAUUCAGACAUCAUAGAUCUUCUAAACUAAUCACAUAUACUGCAAUCAUUUCAGUAUAUAUUAAAUCAUCCACAUAAAGACUCACAAUUAAAAUUUUACCUUCCUCCUUUGAUUUUGUAAACAAUAUAUAUUCACAAAGACAUCUGUCAAAGCCAUUACCAACAAAGUAAGCCUCUAUCUUGUUGUACCAAGCUCUAGGUGAUAGUUUAAGGCCAUAUAACGCCUUCUUUAAUUUGUACACUUUGUCUUCUUCUUCCUUUUUCACAAAACCAGUGGGCUGCUGCACAUAAAUGUCCUCUUUAAGUUCACCGUGAAGAAAGACACUCUUCAUAUCUAACUGAAAAAUAGUCCAACCAUAUUGUACUGUUGUUGCAAGUAUUAUACGAAUAGUAUCACGCCUAGCAACCAGAGCAAAUACUUCUGUGUAAUCUAGUCCAUAUUGUUGCGCAUACCCUUUUGCUACUAGCCUUGCUUUGAACUUGUCUAUCUCUUCAUUCUCUUUAAAUUUGGUUUUAAAGAUCCAUUUUACCCCAAUUGGCUUCAUUCCUCUUGGAAAAUAUGUAAGCUCCCAAGUCUGAUUUUUCUCUAUGGAUUUCAUCUCUUUCAUCAUUGCAUCUCUCCAUUUUUGUCUUUUGAUAGCUUCCUCGAAUGAAAUUGGAUCAUCUCCGGUGACCAUCAUUACAUUUAGGUCAGCAUCAUCAGAUAGACCUUCUCCUUUUUCAUAAUCAAUCAUCCAGACCGGCUCUCUCCUAUUCCUUCUAAUCCUCCCUUCAACUGGAGUCUCAUAAUUGUUAGGAGGAGCAUUGGUGCCUAUGGAACUGUCCAUAACAUCCUCUUCAUUUUGUUCCUCAAUUUCUUGAUCAUCGUUAUGAUCCACAACAUUCUCCUCACUCUGUUCUUCAGUGUCACUCAUGUAUUCCUCAUCUCCUCCCCAAUCAAGAAUGCCCUGUUGGUAUUCCUCAUUCUGUUCCCAAUUUCAUCCCUUUUGUUCUUCAAAUAUCACAUCCUUGCUUAUCAGUACUUUCUUGUUGAGUGGAUCAAACAAACGAUAUGCUUUGGAUUCAUCACUUACCCCCAGAAGAAUACAUUGCUUGCUUUUAUCAUCCAAUUUCUUGGAUGAAAGCGUUCUCAAACCAUUGUAACUUAAAUGACCAAGUCGAUUGUGCCAAAGCUCAUAAUUAUGCUUUAGCUCCACCUGAAAACAAGACUUUGUUGAUAUCAUGGUGGCUGUCAGCACAAACAUCCGAUUCUCCUUCAUCUUAACCUCCAUAAUCUGUCCUCUUUCAAGAUGAUAGACUUCACACUUCCCUUCCUUAAUCAAUAUAGUCAAGCCUUUCUCUUGAAGUUAUCCUACACUUAAGAGAUUAUUCUUAAGUUCAGGAACAUAAUACACAUGUGAAAUGACAUAUACGACUCCAUUAAUAUUUAAUUGAACACUUCCUUUUCCCAUCACAUCUAUCUGAGCAUCAUUGCCAAGCUUUAAUGUAUUGUGAUAGUUCUCAUCUAACUUUGAGAACCACUCCCUGUUACCACUCAUGUGAUUACUGCAUCCGGAGUCAAGAAACCAUUCAUCUUCCUUUUGUUGCUUAACAUCAACGUGAGCCAUUAGCAAAAGUUCAUCCUCUUGUUCCACUGCAUCUUCCACUUCAGCAUAAUUUAUUUUCUUUUCCCAGGUAGGACAUUCGUAUUGAAAAUGUCCAAGUUUGUGACAUUUGAAGCAUUCUAUCUCAGCUUUGUUAAAUGAUUGUCUCCCUCUUCCUCUACCUUGGAAAGAACCUCUGCCUCUUCCUCUACCUUGGAAAGAACCUCUGCCUCUUCCUCCUUUAUCUUCAUUUGUAAUUUGCAGUACUUGUUCUUCUUCUCCUUGAUAUGUCAUUUUUUGCUCGUGAACCAAAAGACUGCUCUGCAAUUCGUCAAUGGUCAUAGUGUCCAAGUUGUUGGAUUCUUCAAUUGAACACACAACGUAAUUAAAUUUAGGAAUCAUUGACUGUAAGAUUUUUGCAGUAAUGAUAUUCUCAAGCAUGCUUUCACCACACGCCUUCAUGUUUUUAGCAAUUUUCGAAGUACGGGCAAAGUAUGAGUUAACUAUCUCUCCGUCCUUCAUCUACAACAUUUCAAAAUCUCUUCGCAGGGCUUGUAAUUGUGCUCUCUUCACUCGAGUAGAACCUUGAAAUUUUUGCUUCAUAGAAUCCCAUAUGUGUUUGGAUGUAUCAUCAUUGAGGAUAGUAUCUAAGAUUUCUCGAUCAAUGGCUUGAUACAGAUAGUUCUUUAUCUUUAGAUCUUUCAAUCGUUGUUCUUCCAUGAGUUUGAGUUCUACUUCUGAUGCAGUAGCUUUAUUUUCUACUUAUGAAAUCCCAUGUUCCACCAACUGCCAAUACUCCUUAGAACGUAGAAAAUUUUCCAUUAAUUUUGCCCAAUGAUCAUAAUGCCCAUCAAACUUGGGAAUUGCAGGUUGCACAUAUUAGCUGGAAUCUGCCAUUUUCGAUAUUUCCUUCUUCUUAGAAGGAUACUGAUGUUGGCACACACUUACAACUGUUUCUCUCACACUCACACUGAUGUUAUCAAACACUCACACUCACAGCUAUUUCUCUCACACUCAAGUUCUGGAUCAGGCCCCUUAUAAAGGAGUUCUGAUACCAAUUGUUGAACACAAUUAAUGUAAGCUCUCUUUAUUUUAUAAAACUGUGUUUUUGAAUUCAGAAUGCAAGUUAGGCUAUAUAGCCGUACAAACCCAAAAUAGAAAUAAGAAAAUAUCACACCUGCACCCACUAAUUCAUGUACUGAAUAAUGGGUGGUUUCCUAACAACUAUAUUCCUAAAAAUUAGGCCAAUAAUUGACCACUUAUUUGAAACAGAAAAACAACUCUACUUAAUUAAAUAAAUUAAAAAAUAACAAUUGAGAUUCUAACUGGUGCUAACAUUCCCUCCCUUAAACUAGAUGCUAUUGCAUCUAGUUUAAUUCUGAUGCUUCAAUUAUUCGCAGCCUCAUCGUUGACACGUUCAUCAGUUUUUGUGUCCGAGUGGAGUGCAAGUAAGAUGACAAGUGCUUCAAGGAUUCCAUCCCUGAGUGCAUUCAAGUAUAUUACACUCAUCAAAUCCUCAAACUCCUCUGAUUUUUGCCACCUUUCAACCAAACCAUAAAACAGCCUCUCUAAUUCUUCACCUCUUCCUUUCAAAACACCAUUAACAUGCUCAUACUCUGCCACAUGAUCAAGGUCGUCUUGUCUCUUCCCAACAAACUCAUCAUAUUGAAUGUUGAAUUUCUGAAUCAGUUCAUCAUAUGGAUUUUUGGAAGAGCUCGCUGUGUUCUGAGCAGCAUUUUCAUUUUCCUUUUCAAGUAGUGCAAAUCUGUUGCCCAGAACUUGAUUUACCUCCUUCAUCUUCGAGAAGAGUUUACUCUUGACCUCGAAUUCCGACGUACUUUGUUGAUUCAUCAUCAUGAACAUUUGCAUGAGAGGGUCAUGAGAAGGAGGAAGUGUCACUGUAGUCCAAUCCAAUUGUGGAAUCCUCUGCUUUGGUUCUGGGGGUGAUACAAAAGCUGUAUUUAUCCCUCUCCUAUUUGCCAUUGUAUUUAGUGUUUCCCACACGUCCAAAUCAGGAAACCUCAACUUUGCUUCCAAGAGUCCACCGCAAACUCCACUCAAGUAUGUUCUAUUUUCAGCUGAGGGUAUUAUCUCCAUCCCUUUAGCUGAGGGUAUUAUUUCUCUUGACUCUUCCCAACAAACUUAUCAUAUUGAUUUUUCCCAGAGCUGGCUGUGUUUUGAGCAGCAUUUUCAUUUUCAUUUUCAAGUUGUGCAAAUUUGUCACGCAGAGCUUGGUGUUCCUCCUUCAACUUCCAAAAGAGUUUACUCUUGACCUCCGGUUCCAAAGUACUUUGUUGCUUCAUUACCAUGAAUAUUUGCAUCAGAGGGUCGUGAGGAUCCAAACGUAGUCCCUGUAGUCCAAUCCAAACGUUGAAGCCUCAGCUUUGCUUCAGUGGAUGAUCCAAAAGUUUCUGUAAUUCCUUUCCUUUUUGCCACAGUAUUAAUUGUUGGCCACAUGUCCAAAUCAGGAAACCUCAGCUUUGCUUCUAAGAGUCCACUGUAAAUUCCACUUAUGUAUGUCCUACUUUCAACCGAUGUUUGCACUUUCGCUUCAGGGCUCCAUCUAACCCUAUAACCCUUCUCCAAAGAAGCUCUUCUACUUUCAACAAUAUCAAGAGAAGGAAAUCUAUUCUGUGCCUCAAAAAGUCCAUCCGUCAUUCCUUCAUCAAAUAUCUCUCUCACUAUUUCUACCAUCUGAUGAUCAUAGCCUUCCUCCUCACUUCCCGUAUGGCCAGAGGUUGAAGCUUCUUCUACAUUACGCAGUUUCAGUGGAUCCUUUAGUGUUACCAACGCUAGAUCACCUAUGAUAGUAACUUUAGGCUCUCCAUCAUCAUUUUUUAUCUCAUCUAGAAUCUGCCUCAGCUUGGAUCUUCUAAAGCUGACCCUUUUGAUUUUAAUGCAUCCUCAGCAUCCUGGGAUAUUCUCUUUAGUUCUCCCAAUACAAUAUGCAUGCAAUCGUCUUUAGCCAUUCCUUCAAACCCCCUUCUUUCUUUGCUGUCCUGCCAUUUUUUAAACGUCUUCUUAAAUGAUUCGUCCAAACCUAGACUCUCUAUGAUCAUUUUAUAUUCCUCCCUAUCAUCUUUUGUAGGAACUAUUGCCAGUGGCAUCUCGUCUGAAUACACGGGAUCGGGAGAAGUGAAGAGGAGAUCAUCCAUUUUGGUUUUGUCUUCUUCAUACACAAAAGCUCCCCAACCACUUAUCACAAAGGAGGAAGUGGCUUUAUACGCAAUCUGGACCAGAUUCCACUCCUCCUCCAGAAGUGCGUCAAGGCCAAGCCACUCCUUGUCACUGAACAAAACUCGUAGAUCAAAGAUCAAGAUGUGUUCUGCUUCAAUUCUGAAUUUGCGACACCCUUUGCAAGGAACAUAUCGACCGUUGAUAAGUAAACGCAGAUCAACAACGCGCAAAUUUGUCCCUUUCACUCUCAUCUUGGAAGUGGAAGAUCAUGGCUAGAGCAAUGUUAGGGAACUUGCGACGAACCCAGAAACGAGGAUUCCUUUCGACCCCCACAUAGUUAAACCAUUCUGGAAUCUCAGUUGUAUAUGGCAUCACCACUUCUAAUCCAUGUACCCCUUCCUUCACCUAUCAAAUUAUUAUAACACUUUCAAUUGUAACUUCUACAUUUAUUUUAGAAAAUUUUGUAAAAUAUUAUUUUCCUAAAAUAAAGGUACAAGAUUUAACUUAAGUAAUAAUAAGUCAUGAUACCUGACGCCAUAACAUGUCUGAUGUCUCUCUAGUUAACUUGAAGCAAAAUCUUGCGUCUACUUUUUGAACAGUUGACGACAACUUUGAAAUUUCUUCAAGGUUGAAACAACGAUGAACAUCAAGAAUUGUCAAGUUAGUGAAUUCAGGAAUUUUUUUAAGCUUCUUACAUUCAGUCAAAUCGAGACUUGUCAAGUCACCACAUUCCUUGAUGGAUGAAGGGAUACAAACAAAAUUAUUCUCUGAAGCAAUCAAUUCUUCUAAUUUUGGAAAGUAGCAAAAAAUUGCAUGAAGAUCUUCAUUAGACAAGUUACCAUUUUCGACAUUCAGUGAUCGUAAUUUUGGACGAACAUUGGCUUUUGAAGGGUUUUGCACCAAACUUCUGAAGGAUUCUCGAAGUUUGGCGCAUGCUUCGAUUUUGAGGGAAACAACAUUGGGCAACAUGAAUAGGCUACUUGGUAGAUAUUUAAGUUCCCUGUUAUUUGAUAUGUCUAUACAAACAAGCCCAGUAAGCUUACCAAUGGAUUCUGGAAGCUCUUGAAUAGCAGUAUUUAUCAUAUAAAUCUUCAAUGGCUUUGUCAUUUCUUGCCUUAUCUCUGGGAAGUGACCAAGGCUUUCACAUAAAUUAAGGUCAAAGAAUUCUAAAGACGGUAGAAACAUUUCAGACAUGAAAUUUUUGAGUUUUGUGCAAUCUGAAACACUUAAAUGAGCAAGACUUUUCAGGAAACCAACAGAUCCAUGUACUGCAGUUAGCUCUCUACAAUGAUCAAGUCUCAGUUCUCUUAGAUUCUGAAGUUCAGACACAUCAGGUAUUUCUUUGAUACUUUGGUUAUAUGAAAAGUCCAUAAUAGUCAAGCAUGGAAAUUUCUGCCAAAUGGAAAGUCAAUAAAAAUUAUUAUUUGCAACAUUUUGAGUUAUUAACUUACUAAUGUGAAUAAAAUAUGGAAGUUUUUGUUUAAUGAAAAAUUGAAACUUAAAAAAUAGGAAAAUAUGAUGUAGAAUUGUACCUUAAAUGGCUCUUCCAAUGUUAGACGACUUCGAGGCAAAUUGAAAACAACAAUUUUCUUCGGAUGAAAUUUUGGUGGGAAAGACUUUGAAGGAUACUCUUCCCAGUCAAGCAGUCUUAAAUGAUUUGGUAAAUGUUCAAGUUCAGAUGAAAAUGAUGUGUUUCGAACAAUGAGAAUUCUGAGCCAUUUCAUCUUUUCAAACUCAAUUCCACUCCAAUUUACUUCUUCUCGCUGAGGAGGAUCAAGCAUAAUCCCUUGAAUCUUAUCACUUCCCUUUAACACAAGUACAAAGAAACAACAUCAAUUGCAUAUUAUCAGUAAUAUAAAAUACUAUAAUGUAUAAAUCGAAAACAAAGAGAGUAAAAGGGUAGAUGAUUACAUAAUCUUCUGUUAGAAUUUCAGUAACAUCUUCAUAAUACCAUAUUCUGCUACGUUCACCAGGAUUUGUUGAUUCCUGCUUAACAAUCUCUCUUCCCAUAUCUUGUAUUAGAUCAUGCAUCUUCAGGCAGUCAUACUCGAUAGUUAUGAGAGACUUAUUAAGAAGUACUUUCAUGUUGGUUGUUGAACGAAAUUCCUCAAGGAUCAUUUUCACAUAUUCCGUUCUCUCCCCUUUAAAGAAGCAAGCUAUGUCCAAGAAAAUUUGUUUGGCAUUAUCAUCCAAUCUAUCGUAGCUUAUUUUAAGCACAUCUUGAAUCUUUCUAUUUGGAGUCUUCUCAUAUUCUUUCAUUGCCAUUUCCCAAUCUUCUAAACUUUCAUGAAAAGCAGCUAAAUCAGAGCCUAUGACUUUUAAAGCCAGUGGAAGACCUUUGGCGUAAUCUACAGCACGCACAGACACAUCUUCAAAACCUGUUUUAGGAUAACUUUGUCUGAAGGCAUUCCAACAAAAUAGCUCUAAAGAAUGUUGGUCAUCAAGUUCUUUCAUUUCAUAAAUAUUUCCAACUUGGUGAGCAAUUAACACAUCUUUUUCCCUUGUCGUUACAAUGAUCCUACUACCUGAACCAAACCAAUUACACCCUCCUGCCAACUUUUCUAACUGAUCUUUAUCACCAACGUCAUCAAGAACCAAAAGAACUUUCUUUUUCUGAAGCUUUUCUUUUAUUUCACGCAUUCCUUUACUUGUGCUUCCCAAUUCAGUUUCCAACCCCUCCAACAUCUCAGAUAAAAGUGUCUUUUGUAGAUCUUCCAUGCCAUUGAUUCUGUUUGAUUUUUCUCUAACAUCGGAAAGAAAACUUGCAGCAUCAAAGUGUUGCACAAUUUUGUUAUACAAAGCUUUGGCAAGUUCCGUUUUUCCAAUUCCACCAAGUCCAUAUAUGCCCAACAUUCUUACAGUUUUAUCAUCAGACUUCAUGUCCAAAAGUGACAUAACUUCUUCUAUGCAGGCCUCAAGGCCAACAGGGUUUUGACCACUAUAUAAAGGUUUAGGAGUUAUAUAUUCCUUGACCUUCCCAACAAUUUCUUCAAUACAAUAGCUUUCAUCAUCCCUAUGAGAGUAGAGUAGAAUGUAAUAAUUAAUUAUUUGUUUGAUAUCAUGAUUUUUUUAUUAUUGUACUAAGUGAUUGUGAUUAUUGUAAUAGAUAGUAAGCAAUGAUACUAAUAGCAAGUAGCACAAAAGAAUAAUGAUUACACAUUAUACAAAAUUUACUGGAGAUGAAAAAGUUAAAGAAAUUUUAUUCUAAACAAAAAAUUCAAUAAUUUAUAAAAAAAUACCUAAAUAUAAUAUCAAAUUCAAAUAAAAAAUGGAUUUUUUUCAACUUUGUUUAUUAGUUUUUUUAUGUUUUAAAUUGUUUUUUAUAAUGUUCAGAAUUAUACUUUAUGACUAACAAAAUCAAUUAACACCCUGAAAAAAUCUAAAAUUUAAGAUGUGGAAUAUUAUAUAUAAGAAACUACACAUGAUAUAAAUAAUAUUACAUCCCAUUAUAAUUAAGAUGUAGAAUAUUAUAUUUAACAAACUACACGUGAUAAAAACAAUAUUACAUACCAUAAAGUAUAUUACAUGAAUCAUUUUUGUUUGUGAAAAGUAAAGUUCUACAUAAGAUCAACUUACUUUUGGUUUUUAACCUUUUAAAAAAGGUUAUAAUUAUUUUUUUAACUAAAAUCAUAUUUUUUGGAUGAGAGAAAAAUUAAGAGAGGAAAAGUAUUUUUUCUUUUAAAUUUCCCUUACCAAUUGUAUUUUUUUUUAUAUCUAAGAAAAGGUAAGUCUUAUGAUAGUGAUGUUAGUAAUGACUUCCAGCAAAGUUCGAAUAUGAGAAAUGCAUUUAAUAUUAAGGACUUGGAUCAAUAAACAAGAUUUUAGAAAUAAAAAUUCAUCGAGAUAGAAAAGAUAGAAAUGUUUUACUUUCUUAGAAUUAAAUAUUAAUGGUAAGUAAAACAAUACUCACCUACGAGCACAAUGCUUAAAAAAAUCUAAGAAAGUGUUGAAGGAACCCAAGAGAACAACAUGGUACUCAUUGAGAAAAUAUUGUUAGAGUCUAAGGUGUUCAAUAAACGCAAUUGAUGGUGGAAGUGAGAAACAACCAAGGUACAAAAAGACAAUCGAGACUCUUUAUGCUAUGUGUGAAAGAACCUACUACAACAACGUUAAUUGAGGUUAACAAUUCAUACAAUUAUAAACUUGUACCUGACUCUGCUAUUAAUAAUAGAAAUAGACUAUUUUUGGUUACGAAAUGGAAGUGUAGAGGCUAUUAGGUUAUGCGAAUUGGGUUAGGAAAUCAAAAUUACAUUUACAGAGUAGGAUGAAAAUAUUUUAAAGAUGAUUGAGAAAACAAAGGAAAGAGAAUGCAAAACGAAAAUAUUAAAGGAAGAGAAAAGACAAUCCAAUUAAUGAAGAUAAUAUGUUUAAACAUUAUAGGAGAAUUGAUUAAUAAGGAGGAGGUUGGGGUAGUGUUCUUACAAGAAACCAAAUUAGAAAUAGUCAAUAAAGAAAGAUGCUACAAUAUAAGAAACAAUGAUACAGAAUGGGAACAUUUUGUAGUUGUAAAUGGGGUACAUGAAAUUUUAAUUAAGUGGCAUAAGAAUACUUUCAUAUGUGACAUGUUGGGUAUAAAGCCAGAUCAAUUGGGUUGGGCUGACUAGACACCAUGUUUAGUGAGUGAGCUUAAUCAUUGUGUCCCUUUUAUAAUCUAUAUUUAAAGAGAUCAUUGUACUUGUAAUUGGUGUACAACCAGACAGAAAUGAAAACCUAAUAGUUGUCGGUGUGGGUGUAGGUUGCAGUUGGCGACCGAACCACGUUAAAUCUUGUAUUGUUUAUUUUCUGCAGUUGAUUCGUGAUUAUGUGUGUUGCUUCUGCUUGCGUUUUUUCCCAUCAAGUGGUAUCAAGAGCUUUGGUUCGUUUACACACUAGAGAUCCGAUCAGCAGAAAUUAAUCGACGAGACGUGAAAAUUGCGGCUGCAGUAGCGUCCUAAAGCUAGGGUUUCACAAAGGCGAGAUUAACGUUCCAAAGUUAGGGUUUCGCAAGGGUUGAAGUAGCGUCUCAAAGCUAGGGUUUCACAAAGGCGACAACAACGUCCCAAAGCUAGGGUUUCAUAGGCGCAAUAGCGUCCCAAAGUUAGGGUUUCGCAGAGGCGACAACAACAUUCCUAAGCUAGGGUUUCACAGGGACUGCAACGUUCCUAAGCUAGGGUUUCGCAAGGGCUGCAGCGACGUCCCAAAGUUAGGGUUUCACGGUGGCCCAGGAUUCGCGACAGCCUAGACCUGCGACUCGCGGCAGGUGUGCAAUGGUGUGGAUCGCUACAAGAGUGGUGGCGGCUCGUGACGUUGUGCAGAUGGCUUGCUCGUAGUAGGGUCGUGUCCAGGCAAUGCGGUGGAGUGUGCUAAUGUGACGACAGAUCGCGUUUCGCGGCGAACAGGUGCAGGUGCUUAUGGUGAGCGAGACGACACGAAGGUGCAGUGCGAUGGCAGUGACGGAAGACGCAGGGUGGCACGUACAUUUUUCUGCUGGUGCAGCAGUGACGGUGCGGUGCUAGGCGCGGGUGUGGCUGGUUUUUGCUGCGGCACGAAGUUAAGACAAUUCAGUUACUGAACACAUUAAUAAAAUGAAUUCGAUCUUAGCCAAACUUAUGUCAGUGGGCAUUAAGUUCGAUGAUGAAGUUCAAGCUUUACUACUGCUAUUGUCUUUGCCUGACAGUUGGUCCGGAAUGGUUACAACAGUUACCAGUUCAGUAGGAUCCGAUGGAUUCACUUUUGAGAAGAUUUGUGAUCUCAUUCUUGGCGAGGAUGUCCGAAGAAGGAGUUUUGGGGAAUUAGCUAGUGAAUCACUAUAUGUCAUCAGAGGUAAGAAAAAUAUCAAAGAUAGUGGGAGCAAGAACAAAAAAAGGAGUCAGUCAAAGACUCGGGAUUGCUCAAGUGUAACAUGUUGGAACUGCAAGGAGGUGAGGCAUUUCAGGAAUCAAUGCCCAAAUGAUAAAUAAGUCAACAUUGCAGAAGACUUCGUGGACGAGGACCUUUUAGCUUGUUGUGCGGAUUGAAGUGUGGAUUUCUAGGUCAUGGAUUCUGAAGCAUUGCAAAAUCUAGUUAUUGGAGACUUUGGAAAGGUAAGACUAGCAGACAACAAAACUCUUGAUGUUACGGGCAUGGGUGACAUAAUGUUGAAGACACUAGUUCGUUUCUAGACUUUGAAGGAUGUCAGAGUUGUUCUAAGCUUGACGAAAAGUUUGAUUUCUGUUAGGCAAAUGGACGAACAGGGACAUGAAGUGAAGUUCGAAAAUCAGCAGUGGAAGGUCGUCAAGGGAAAUCUUGUCAUAGCCUGCAGAAGAAAGAGAGGUUCGUUGUAUAUGGUCGGAUUACCUUCUAAGGGAGUGACCAUCCCAGUUCAGAAGAUAAACAAAGUUUGGUUCACAAAAUCUCGUGGGCAGAAGAGGGUCGUCUUUACAAGAGAGAAACCCAGAGCCACAGGUCAGAUUCAGGAUGAACGAGCAUGGAAAGGUUCAGGUAGACCAGUCAGAGGUACUUAUGGUAGUGGGAGCACGGGUCGUGCUUCAGUAGAGGUUCCUAGACGACAGUGGGUUAGUGAUUGACGUGUUGAAACUUAGGGGAGUUUUAACGAAGUCUUCUAAAUGAUUAAGAAAGUUGGUGGCAACUAGAGGUGGAACAUUGAAUUUCGUCGACAGAUUACAAAAGUACAUGUACACAGUUGAAGCGCAGGUGAACAUUGUUUCGUGACUUCAAGUGGGAGAUUGUUAGGUAUGAAGUCAAAACCAAUUGGGUUGGGCUGACUAUACAUCAUGUUUAGUGAGUGGGCUUAAUCAUUGUACACAGUUGAAGCGCAGGUGAACAUUGUUCCGUGGCUUCAAGUGGGAGAUUGUUGGGUAUGAAGCCAAGACCAAUUGGGUUGGGCUGACUAGACACCAUGUUUAAUGAGUGGGCUUAAUCACUGUAUCCAUUUUAUAAUCUCUAUUUAAAGAGAUCAUUGUACUUGUAAUUGGUGUGCAAUAGGACAGAAAUGAAAACCUAAUAGUUGUCUGUGUGGAUGUAGGUUGCAGUUGGCGACCGAACCACAUUAAAUCCUGUGUUAUUUAUUUUCUGCAGUUGAUUCGUGAUUAUAUGUGUUGCUUCCAUGUGAUUUUUUCCCAUUAAAACAUUGGUUAGAAAUACAAGUUUUUUUAGGAGUUAAAGAAAGCUAGAAAAAGAAUAAUAGGUCAAUAGUAAUAGUGAAUGUGUACUCCCUUGUAACUAUAGUGAUAAGAUAGUAAUGUUGGAUGAAAUAGCAAGAUUAAGAUAGGAAGAAGAAUGCAAAAUCUAGUGUGUAUUGGAGAAUUUUGACGGAAUAUGAAAUUUAGAUGAAAGAAGAGGUAUAAAUCAAGAUGGUAGAGGUUAGAGGGAUACAAUAGAAAUUAAUGAAUUUAUAGAAAACACUGAAAUCAUGGAUAGUAGUUAGAAAAUUUACUUCGUAUCCAAAUGGAAUUGCAAAAAGUAGGUUUCACAAAAUUUUAUUCAGGAGAGCGUUAGAUCAUUGUGUUAUGGUGUUAAAUUCCAUACAAAUAUAUUGGGAUUUGAAUCCAUGACCUUGUAAUGUAUGGAUGCACUAGUAAAGAGUCCACGAAAGAAUAGCGGUGUUAGUGGAUGUGGUAUGGUCACUAAAAUAAACAUACAAUCGAGGGUCAAAAUCCAUAAAAAAGACCAAAAUUUCAUCAAUAAUAUGGUUGUCAGUAAAUUUACCAGCAGAAAAAGUUCUGUCAAUAAUUAUUAAUAUUAUUAAUUAUUAUUUUAAAAAUAAUAUUUAUCUUUAACAAAUUAUAUUAUUAUUAUUAUUUCUAAUUAUAUUAGCACAUUAUUAUUUUGUUGCAAGUGGGACUUAAAACUGAGGAUUAGUGGUAGGAGAGUCUCUAACCACUUGAAUAAAGUGAUGUCAUUGUAAUAUUUUGAUUUUUAUUAUGUUAUUAAUAAUAAUAAUAAUAUUAAAAAUAAUAAUAAUAAUAUUAUUAUUAUGAAUAUUAUUGUAAUUAUUAUUAUUAAUAUAUUAUAAUUAUUGUAGUCAUUAUUAAUAUUAAUAUUGUUAGUAUUAUAAUUACAAAUAUAAAACUAAUAAUAAUAGUGGUAAUAAUUACAAUAAUAAUAAUAUUAUUAAUAAUAAAAUUACUAAUAAUAUUAAUACUAACAUUAUUAUUAAUCUUAAUAUUAAUAAAAUUAAUAAUAUUUAAUAAUUACAAUAAUAAUAAUAAUAAAAUAUUAAUAAUUAUAAUAUUAAUAUUAAUAAUAUGAAUAAUAAUUAUAGUAAUAAUUCUAAAUGUUACUAUUACUAAAAUUCACAAUAAUUUCAAUAAUUAUAAUAAUUUGAUAUUAUUACUAACACUACAAGAAAAUCAUGAAAUAGAAAUCAAUUUUAGAAACAAAAAAUAAUUAGUUGCUAUAGUGACUAAAUUAGAGACCAUUUUAGGGACUAAAUAAUUUUUUGGUUUCUAAAUUAGUUUCUAUUAUUGUUAAAUGGUUUUUAAAUUGGUAUCUAAUUAGUAACCAACUUUUUUGCUACCAAAUUUAAAAUCUAAAUAAUUGGUAGUUAGAAUUUUGGUUGCUAAUUAGAUACCAAUUUAGAAACUAUUUAAAUAUAAUAGAAACUAAUUUAGAAAUCAUUUUUUUUAGUUUCUAAAAUGGUCUAUAAUUUAGUUACUAUUGCAACUACUUAUUUUAGUCUCUAAAAAGGUUUCUAAUUUAGUUACUAUUGCAACUAAUUAUUUUAAUCUCUAAAAAUUGGUUUCUAUUUGAUGAUUUUCUUGUAGUGUAAAUUCAAUAUUAGGCUAAGUAACAUUCUCUUCUAUUUCUAUUAGUGAUAAUAUAGUCCUAACAAGUGAGUUCACAUAACUAGAAAUUAAGAAAGCAAUAGACAGUGUAAGAGUGAUUAAAUUUUGGGCAAUGGCUAUAAAAUUGGCUUUACAAAGAAAUUAUGGGAGGUUGUAAAAGUAAAAAUCAUACCAUCUACCCAUUCUUUCAAACUCCUUAGUUGGGUGUAUGUAUAAGAUAAUAUGUAAAGUGUUGUCUAGUAGGUUAAAACAUAUCUAUCUAAGAUGAUUGAGAGCUACUAAUCAACAUUCAUGAUGAAGUAUUUGAUUAAAGAAAACAAGUAAAAUAGAUGCAAUGAUGACGAAUGAAUGGAAAGAGGAGGAUGGGGAAUUUUACAAUGUAAAUUACAAAAAGUUAUAACAUAUUUGUAAGAAGAAAGACUCUAACAUGUUUAAUCUUUUCUAGAAGGUGAAGAUGCUACCCUCAAUACAACAUUUUGCAUGGAAGGUAAUAAAUAUUAAAUCGUGUAGCAACAAAACAAAAGAAAAUUGGAGGAGUAAGGGAGUAAUGAUAGAUAAUGUUUUUUGCCCUAUGUGCAUAUUAAUGGAGCAAUUCGUUAACCAUUUAUUCUUCAGAUGUAACAUUGUACGUUGUGUGAAAUAUGUGCAACAACUAGGUUGGAGUAAGUACUCUUAUCACUACAAAAAAAAAUCAGUAUUAUUUAUGCAUUUUUACCCAUGAAUCUGAACCCGUAGGUAAAUUCAACAUUAUCUACAUAUAUUACCCAUGGAUAUUACUCACAGAUUCUUAGUCUGUAGGUAAAUUCAACAUUACUUACUAAUUAUUACCCACAAAUCUUAUUACCUACCAACUUUUACCUACGGAUCUCUAUUACCUACCAACUAUUAUCAUAAUAAUUACAUACAUAAAUUAAAAAUAUUAAUAUAAUAUGAAGCAUUAUAAAAUCAUAAUUAAUAUUCAUAAAUAAUAAUAACCAUAACUAAUUUAUACAUAUUUUUAAUAUUAUAAAAUUAAUAAUAUUAAUAAUAUUAAUAAUAUUAACAAUAUUUAAUAAUAUUAACAAUAUUUAAUAAUAUUUAACAAUAUUAAUAAUAUUAAUAAUAUUAAUAAUAUUAACAAUAUUAACAAUAUUAAUAAUAUUUAACAAUAUUAAUAAUGUUAAUAAUAUUUAACAAUAUUAAUAAUGUUAAUAAUAUUAAUAAUAUUAAUAAUAUUAAUAAUAUUUAACAAUAUUUAACAAUAUUAAUAAUAUUUAACAAUAUUUAAUAAUAUUAACAAUAUUAAUAAUAUUAACAAUAUUUAACAAUAUUAAUAAUAUUAAAAAUAUUUAACAAUAUUAAUAAUAUUAAAAAUAUUUAACAAUAUUAAUAAUAUUAAUAAUAUUUAACGAUAUUAAUAAUAUUUAACGAUAUUAAUAAUAUUUAACGAUAUUAAUUAUAUUUAACAAUAUUAAUAAUAUUUAAUAAAUGAUAUUAAAUAUAUGAAUAAUGUUAUUAAUUUUUAUUUUAUUAAUUAUUUUAAUAUUGAUAAUCAUACUCAUAAAUAUAAUAAUAAUCAUAACAUGAUAACAAAACUUGACUGGUGGAAUGGUUAAAUCUUCUAUGAAUAUUUUUUCAAGGAACUUGAAAUCACCUGCACCUGCAGUUUAGUUCUAACAUUAAUUAUAACAUUUAUUAUUUAAAAUUUUAAUUAAUUGGGAGAUAUUAGUGUAUAUAUGCCCAACAACUUGCAUAAUAAUUUUCUUUCCCUCAAAGUUGUCACUCUUCCAUUGAAUCAUUGUUGUCAAGUUAAUUAUUUUUUUAUUUUUUAUUUAUUUUUAUUUAUUUUUUCCUGACCAAUUCGCCCCGCUCCAUCGCUGACCCGCGCGGAUCGUGGAUUAUACGGGACGGGCUAAUGUGGAUUAGCGGAUUGAAAACGUCAAUCCGCCCUGCAUUUUUUGCCGUAGACCGACCCGUAUAACCCGUUCCACUUUGUCACCCCUAAAUGGAGUCUAGACCUAAAUGGAGUAUAGUGAUCAUGCAUUCUUAUAGGAGGAACAGUAAAUUGAUUAUCUGAGUUUGAUAAUGUUAUAAUUUUGUCUAGUACAAAAAUUGAAAACAUGCGAACUAUCCAAACAUAGGUCACUAACCAAAGAACUAAAACAUAAACAACAAAAAGAUUAUUUUAUUCUGAUAGUCAAAAUCCAUUACACAUAACAAUAAAUCUGGUCUUUUAUUUCAAAACAAAACACAUAGUUAUGCAUCGUUCGAUACUAUUAUUUUCUAUUUAGAUUUAUAAACAAAUAUUAUAAUUUUAUUUCUUUCACUAAAGUAACAUUAUUAUUUUUUAUUCGAGAUUUGGGAUGAAAAAGAAAUAAGAUUGAAUGGUUUGUUAUACAUACCCGGUGGUAAUAUGCUUCCCUGGGAAGUCAACUGCUUGAGACAAGGCUGACCUCCAAGCCUGCAUCUGUGAUUCUUUUGCAAUGUCAUUUUCAUGUGCCUUCAUGUGUUUUCCGAAGCUAUUUCUCUCGUGCCGUAUAUCUGAGGGAUCUACAUGGUAAAACACUGGGUAAACAAGCUGCUUCUUCUCCUUCAUUUUGCUUCGUUCUAUGAUCCUAACAAGUUCAUCCAGACACCAUCUGGAAGAUGCAUAGUUCUCAGAAAACACAACGAUGAAAAUCUUAGAUUCUUCAAUGGCCUUCGACAGAUCAGGUGGAAGACUUUCCCCUGUCCUCAUAUUCUUAUCAUCAUUGAAACUUUUUAUUCCCUUCCCAUCUAACUCUCUACGCAGAUGCCCUAUAAAAUUGUUCCUUGUAUCUUCUCCUCUAAAACUGAUGAACACAUCAUAGGUGAAACCAAGACGCUCUUCUUCCUCACCAUGUUCUCCCAUGCUACAAACACACCAAAACUACACUAUGGAUUCUCAACUACUUUCAUCAAUUUAGUGUGUUCUGAUUAAAUACACUUUCUUUCGCGGAUACACGCUUUCAUGUAUCAGUGAAUUAAGCUUCUUAAUUAUAGGGGUUGACCAAGAAGAUGAAGAACAUGGGAUAUAAUUAUUACAACUACCAAACAUGAUGCCUCGAUCUUGAAAAUAAAGAUGAUGGGAACACAAGUAAUUCACGUGGUGCAUAUUUAAUGUGGUUUAUAUUGUACAGAAUUGGAUUCCUGUGUAUAAAAAAAUAUAGCGUUCAUAUUUAUGUGUAUUUAAUUAAAUUUAUAAUAUUGUUUUUCUAUUUUAUAAUAUUGGAUUCCCUUGUAUAAAAAUGUUUUCUUUUACGUUUUUUCGGUUUUUUUUUUCUGGUCAAAGUUGCAAACUUUAAUUAUCUCUGUCAUUCUUUCAUUUCUUUUGCCAAAAUGCUUUCUCUUGCAUCUUUUUCAUUUUUUUAUUUUUGGUUCUCUGUUUUUGUUAUUCUUUGGCGUUUGUCAAAAUAUUUUCUCUUACGUUUUCCCCAUUUUUUUUCUUAUGAUUCUUUGUUUUUUUUUUUUUAAUUUUCAUUGUUCUACGCAAACUUUGAUCAUUCUAUGCCAUCCUUUAUUUUUUGUUUGUGAAUUAUUACUGAAAAUUGUAGGUAAGCUGUAUUUUGGUGAUACGAACAAGAUUAAAUGUAAUCAAUAUUUUGUUGAUCAUAAGCAAAUGUUGUUCAAUGAAUAUUUGUUAUUAUGUUAAUUUUGAUGUAUUUUGUUAAUUAUGUUACUAAUGUCGAGUUAUUUAUAAUUUUAUUCGUUUUCUCCAUAAAAAUUUAAAAAAUGUAUUUAUACUAACUGUUGGUGUAACAUCCCUAAAUUUACCCAUAUAUAUAUAUAUAUAUAUAUAUAUAAUAAAAUAAUAGUAAAACAAACAAUAUUUAAUUAACAAAUAAACAUAUACUACUUGUUGAUAUUUGUAUCUCAAAAAUAUAUACAUCAAAAGUUUAAAAACAAAACACAGCAAAGCAUUCAAUUUAAAUCUAUCUAAUCCUCCUUCUGCUCACUGAGGAGCUCUAUUACCUACAACUUCAUCUGCUCCCGUGUAAAUUAACACGAUCAUCACAGAUUAAAGAAAACAAAAACAAACAAAUAACAUGGUAAGCUAGUUAUAUAAAACAAAAUUCUAUAAAAUUUCAAUUUGAAAUUUAUAAAACAUAAAUCAUCAAGUCUCGUACAAAUUCUCAAAUCAUCAAGUGUCUAUUAAAAUUCAACAUUCAUCUUUCAUAUGUCAGACUUCCACUGACUAAUAUAACAUAGACACUUGAUUCUACUUCUGAAAGACUCGUGUAUUGAAAUUAGCAUCCAGAGACCUGCACCUGUCAUACUACUGCUGUGAAAUCCACACAGUCAUGCGCAUAAUUAUCUCAAUAUCUCAUCCACUCAUAUGACAGGGUAAAUUCAUAUGACCUGAAAGAUCAGGUUCUAUUUCAAACCCCAGACAUAAUCAUAUGAACCUCCAUCGACUCUCACCAACUGAAUAACUUCAUCUAUGUUAUUCCAUUAUAUCAGUAGAGUCAGGAUUGUCUAAUUCACAGAUACUCACAAAUCAAUACACCCUAACAGCAAUCUCAACACGGUAUUUUCUUUCCUGAAAAUACUAUGUCUUGAUCUUACUUUCACAUCAAUGCACACUUCAUUUAACACAUCAAUACACCAUACAAUCAUAACAUAUAAUUUAACUUUCUAAUAAUCCAAAUAUAUCCAAGAAGUUAUUUAAUAAUAGUAAUCCAAAAUAAACUAUGCUAAAAUAAUAAUAAUAGUAAUAUCCAUAUAUGUAUACAAAAUUUUGAAUUGAUCGAAAAUAUUUUAGGUUUAUCUAAAUGACACCAGAGAGCACCAAAAAAUUUGGAUUGAUCGAAAAUAUUUUUAGGUUGAUCGAAAUGACACCAGAGAGCACCAGAAAUUUUAGAUUGAUCGAAAAUAUUUUUAGGUUGAUCGAAAUGACACCAGAGAGCACCAGAAAAUUUGAAUUGAUCGAAAAUAUUUUUGGUUGAUCUAAAUGACACCAGAGAGCACCAGAAAUUUUAGAUUGAUCGAAAAUAUUUUUAGGUUGAUCGAAAUGACACCAGAGAGCACAAGAAAUUUUAGAUUGAUCGAAAAUAUUUUUAGGUUGAUCGAAAUGACACCAGAGAGCACCAGAAAUUUUAGAUUGAUCGAAAAUAUUUUUAGGUUGAUCGAAAUGACACCUGAGAGCACCAAAAUUACAAAGUCCAUGCUAUAGCUGAAAAUUACUCUAAAUCAACUUCAAGCAACCAAAAAUCAACAACAUUAUAAUUUUAUAACAACAAUCAUAUCAAAUUUUACAUUCAAAUCUCAGUCAAUUACUAAUAUACUUAAAUCAAACAACCUUGGAAGAAAGUUUGAGACUGGUGACCACAUCACCCUCACAUCCAGAUCUUCUAGCCUAGUGUUCUAUUGGAAAUUAAGGCUAGCUUCCCUUACCUGAAUUUUAGUAGAUAUACACUAAGAGCUCCAAAACCACCAAGAACUCAAAGGUAACUUAACCUGCACCACAAAGUCCAAAUAAAAAAUCUAACUAUAUUACUAAGACCCUGAGCUAACAGAGAUUAACCUUGAAGCUAAAAGGGUCACAUGCAAAGCAAGACAAAAACAACCUGACAAGUUCAAAAUUUGACUCAAAGAGAAGAGCAAAAAUGAACUUACUCUAUCAGAGAUUCUGAUCGGGCAGUCUUGUAGUACUCACUGCCAGGAGUCUGAUGGUGGACUCUGAUCGUCAAACCGAUGAACGAGGAAGUCAGAAUCUUAGAGAAGGGAGAGAAAAAGAAAAGAACUUUCUAGAGAGAUGGUGGUUCUUUUUAAAAUGAAACCUGAAUAACUGAAUUUCUAUUUAUAUUCCCUUUUCAUUUUAGAUAAAAAAAUAUUCAGGAGUCAUUUAAAAUAUACCACUUCUACUCUAAAGUAAUUUUCUAGAUCCUUACAUUCUCCCCAACAAGAAAAAUUUUCGUCCCCGAAAAUUGACUUACCAGAAAAGAGAUAGGGAUAACUUUCCCUAAUGGUUUCUUCUAAUUCCCAAGUGGAAUCACCAGAUAUAUCAUCCCACACCACCUUCACCAUACUGAUGGUCUUGCCCCUGAGUUGUUUACUCUUUUGAUCUUCAAUCCUAAUUGGUUUUGCUUCAAAAGACAAGUUAUCCUUGAUUUGCACAUUAUCCACUUCCAACACGUGACUAGGAUCUGGAAUAUACUUUCUUAGUUGUGAUACAUGAAAUACAUUGUGCAGGUUUGCUAAUUGAGGAGGUAGAGCAAUCUCAUAAGCCACUGGACCUAUCUUCCUUAAGACUUGAUAUGGUCCAAAAAACUUAGGAGAUAACUUAUUUGAUCUGAUAGCUCGUCCUACACCCUUGGUUGGUGUCACUCUCAUGAACACUUGGUCUCCAGCUGCAAACUCCAAAGGUUUUCUCCUCUUAUCUGCAUAGGAUUUCUGCCUACUUUGAUAAGCUUUCAAUCUGUCUUGUAUCUGCUUCACUUUCUCAGUGGUCUGUUGAAUUAACUCUGGCCCAACCAAAACUGUUUCACCAUCCUGAUACCAACAUAAAGGAGUUCUGCACUUCCUCCCAUAUAGAGCUUCAUAUGGUGUCAUCCCAAUACUGGCAUGAUAACUAUUAUUAUAAGUGAACUCCACUAGAGGUAACAUCUCAUCCCAACUUCCCAGAUGAUCCAAAAUACAUGUCCUCAACAGAUCUUCUAAAGACUGGAUCGUCCUCUCAGACUGUCCAUCUGUUUGAGGGUGAUAUGCAGAGCUCAUUCUCAACCUAGUUCCCAAAGAGUCUUGUAGAGUUUGCCAAAACCGUGAAGUAAACCUGGGAUCUCUAUCCGAAACAAUACUGGAAGGCACUCCAAGCAAUCUCACAAUCUCUUUGAUGUACAACUGUUCCAACUUGGCCAUAGAUAUCCUUAAAUUAACUAGAAGAAAGUGAACACUCUUUGUCAGUCGAUCAACUAUUACCCAGACUGCAUCAUGACCCCUUACUGAUCUUGGUAAGUGAGUAACAAAAUCCAUAGCAAUGUUGUCCCAUUUCCACUCAGGAAUAUCCAACUGCUGUAACAAACCACCAGGUCUCUGAUGUUCUACUUUUUCCUUCUGACAUGUCAAACAUGUACCAACAUACUGAGCUAUUUCUUUCUUCAUGCCUGACCACCAAAAGGACUCUUUCAAAUCUUGGUACAUCUUUCAUACCGGGAUGUAGACUAAGAUGACUCUUAUGACCCUCUUCUAGGAUCAUUCUCUUCAGCUCUUCAUUUUCAGGUAUGCAAAUCCUGCCAUUAAAUCUCAAGAUCUCAUCUUCUCCCAUCACAAAGUCCUUAACUUGAUUUGUACCUAGUAACUCCACAGUACGCUUCAGACUAGGAUCCUCUAACUGUUUUUCCUUUAUUAUUCCAAGGAAAUCAUUAGUUAUAGUUAACUUACUACAACUAAUAUGAUUAAUAUGAAAUUUCACUCCCAAAUUUAGAUCCUUGAACUGCUCAAUCAACUUCUGCUCUUCAAUCAUCAUAGCUGACACCUGUACUGACUUUCUACUCAAAGCAUCUGCAACUACAUUAGCCUUCCCUGGAUGGUACAUCAAUUGAAAAUCAUAAUCCUUCAGAAACUCCAUCCAUCUUCUUUGUCUCAUAUUCAACUCUUUCUGAUCAAACAAAUAUUUUAAACUUUUAUGGUCACUGAACACCUGAAAUUGAGCUCCAUACAAAUAAUGCCUCCAAAUCUUCAAAGCAACACUACUGCUGCCAAUUCUAAGUCAUGAGUAGGAUAAUUUCUCUCAUGAACUUUGAGUUGCCUUGAAGCAUAUGCAACUGCUCUCUUCUCUUGCGUUAAGACACAACCUAAACCCUGAUAGGAAGCAUCACAGUAAACCUCAAAAGGUUUUCUUGUAUCAGGAAUCACUAACACCGGAGCACUAGUUAAUAUUUUCUUCAGCUCUAUAAAACUCUACUCACAUCUGUCAGUCCAAGCAAAAGGUUGAUCUUUGCGAGUUAAUUGAGUCAAAGGAGCUACUACCUUGGAAAAAUCUUCAAUGAACCUUCGAUAGUAUCCAGCUAAACCCACAAAACUUUUUAUCUCUGUGACUGUCCUAGGGUGUUCCCACUGAAGCACUGCCUCCACCUUGGCUGGAUCCACUGAGAUCCCCUGAGCUGAUAUUACAUGCCCUAAGAAAUUGACUUCCUCCAGCCAAAACUCACACUUAGAGAACUUAGCAUAUAAUUGUUUUUCCCUCAAAAUUUCCAACACUAUCUUCAGAUGUUCUUCAUGUUCUUCCUCGGUCCUUGAAUAAAUAAGUAUAUCGUCUAUAAAGACUACAACAAACUUGUCCAAGAAAUGACGGAAAAUUCUAUUCAUGUAAUCCAUGAAAAGAGCUGGAGCAUUUGUUACUCCAAACGACAUCACCACAUACUCAUAGUGUCCAUAACGAGACCUAAAAGCUGUCUUCUGAACAUCUUCAUCUUUUACUAAAAUCUGAUGGUAUCCAGAUCUCAGAUCAAUCUUUGAGAACACUGAGGCUCCAUGUAACUGAUCCAUUAAAUCAUCAAUUCUGGGCAGAGGAUACUUGUUUUUGAUGGUCAACUUAUUCAACUGCCUGUAAUCUACACACAACCGAGACCCUCCAUCCUUCUUUUUAACUAGAAGCACCGGAGCCCCCCAUGGAAAUACAUUGGGCUUGAUGAACUGUUUCUCCAAUAAGUCUUCAACUUGCUUCUUUAGUUCAAUUAAUUCAGCUGGAGCCAUUCUGUAAGGUCCCAUUGACACUGGUCCAGCUCCAGGUGCCAAAUGAAUAGAGAAUUCUACUUCUCUCUUGGGAGGUAAUCCAGGUAUUUCUUCUGGAAAUACAUCCAUGAAAUCCUUCACCACAUGUAUACUACUUAUUUCUUUAUCAUUCUUAACUCCCAUCUGAGUUAAGAUUACAAGCCACCUUGAUCCUUCUUUCAAUUCUGACCACACAUGUUGAGCAGACAUCACAUAUGACUCCUUGGAAUAUGAAAACACUAUUUUCUGUUGACUACAAUCUAUGAGAAUGUGAUUGACAGAUAGCCAAUCCAUUCCUAGAAUAACAUCCAGGUCUUGAAGAGGUAGACAAAUUAAAUUUAUUUUGAAAGUAUCGAUUUUACUUUCGGAUCUUUAGCUGGCACUCACUGACCCCGUCUUUGCUCUACAAAGUGUUGCGGUAGGUAAAGAACUCGAUCUUAAUAUAAAUUUCCAGCAGGCUCUCUGUGAUCUAUCUUGGACUGGAAAUGGAGAUUGAUUUGAAUAUGCAGUCUCUCUAGUGGCAUCUACCCUUUAUCCUUUGUUUGAAUUAUUAAGUAAGUAUAUGCAUUGAUUUGAUAAUUUAUUUUGAUGUAUGCAUUUAAAGGUCCUUUCUUGUGAAAAUAAAUGUUCUGGGAUUGGUUGGCGCAUUACAAAGGCUUGCUUGCAUUGCAUGAAAGCCGCUUUAGCAAGAAAGGCGGGAAUCUCUUCAAGGGUUGACAACUGUGAGAUAUGAACUAUUAUUGGACAUUCAAAACAAACUGUAGAGGUCAAUACUUUUCCUGAUGCAGGGGUAGAGACCAGCAGUUCAAACGACAACUCUUUCACUAAAAGACCCAACUCAUCUACACACAAAAGAAUGUGUCGCUCCUGAAUCAAACAAAACUUUCACACAUCUACCAGCUAUAUAACAUACACCUUGUACCAAAUUACCUGACUGAGAUGUUUCAGCUCCUGACAUAGAAAAAACUCUUCCAGUUGCUUGGGGUCUGCCACCCCCUCCUCUUCCUAGUUGUAAGUUACCUCCAAGAAUUAUCCUCCUCUUAUUAGGGCAAUCUUUUGAUAGAUGUUCUUCUUUAUGACAAGUAUAACAUUUUCUCUCUGAUAAAAGUUUAGGACAAUCUUUCUUCAAAUGGGGUCCAACACAGUGAUAACAUGUGGGUAUCUAUGGUGGUUGUUGCUGAAACUGCGGUGGAGCUGCUCCUGCCCUAUGUUGUGGAGGUCUAGCAUAAGGCAUGUGUUGUUGAUGUUGUACCUUGGCCUUUCCACUAGAAGACCCUCCUGGGUGUGAUCUCAUUACCCUGGAAUCCCCCUUUUCCAAGGUCUCCACCAUCUUCGCCUUCUCCACUAAGCUAGGAAACUCCCUGAUGCACAUAGGUGAUAUAAUCUUUUUCAACUCAUGUUUUAAACCUUCUUCAAACUUCCUACACCUCCAAGCCUCAGAGGUAGCUUGUAGAAUCUGGCUAGAUACUCAAACCUAGCAGCAUAAGCAUUAACUGACAUCUCUCCCUGUUCCAACUUGAGAAAUUCAGUUUCCUUUGCAAACCUUGCACUAUCUGGAAAAUAUUUCUCCAGAAACAUCACUCUAAAACACUCCCAGUCCAAAACUUCAGCUCUGACUUCCAUCAUUUGUUGAGCUCCCAUCCACCAGAACUCUACUUCUCCAGACAACAAAUAUGUAGCAAAAACCAAAUUCUUAUCCUCAGGGCAUGAGGUUGCCUUAAAGAUCUUCUCUAUCUCCCUUAUCCAUUGGUUUGCUUGAUCCGGAGUGGCAUUCCCACUGAACUUAGGUGGGUUAUGCCUCAUGAACUCUGUCAGUCCCAACUGCUCUUGAGACAAACUGACAUGGGAAGUUGUUGCAGCAAAUCUAGCAUUCUCCCAAUGAUGCAUUGUUGUCUGGUGAUUCUGAGCCAUUGCCAUAUUCUGUUGUUGGAUAGCUUUUGCCAUCAUCUCAAUAGCCCUGACAAUCUGGUUCAUCUCAGAAGAAGGUUGGGGAGGGGUAGGAGGUCUAGGAGCCAUUCUAUAAAACAAAGAAGAAAGAUUCAUGAUAAAUCUUUAGAAUUUUAAACUAUGUAGUUUUUACUAACAAACCAAUUAAAGCACACAAAAACAACCCCAUAACUCUUAGGUCUCCUAAGGUUCGAAAAGCUCUGAUACCAUAAUGUAACAUCCCUAAAUUUACCCAUAUAUAUAUAAUAAAAUAAUAGUAAAACAAGCAAUAUCUAAUUAACAAAUAAACAUAUACUACUUGCUGAUAUUUGUAUCUCAAAAAGAUAUCCCUCUUCAUAGGGAUUUAAUAUAUACAUCAAAAAGUUUAAAAACAAAACACAGCAAAGCAUUCAAUUUAAAUCUAUCUAAUCCUCCUCCUGCUCACUGAAGAGCUCUAUUACCUACAACUUCAUCUGCUCCCGUGUAAAUUAACAUGAUCAUCACAGAUUAAAGAAAACAAAAACAAACAAAUAACGGGUAAGCUAGCCAUAUAAAACAAAAUUCUAUAAAAUUUCAAUUUGAAAUUUAUAAAACAUAAAUCAACAAGUCUCAUACAAAUUCUCAAAUCAUCACGUGUCUAUUAAAAUUCAAUAUUCAUCUUUCAUAUGCCAGACUUCCACCGACUCAUAUAACAUAAACACUUGAUUCUACUUCCGGAAGACUCGUGUAUUGAAAUUAGCAUCCAGAGACCUGCACCUGUCAUAUUAUUGUUGUGAAAUCCACACAACCAUGCGCAUAAUUAUCUCAAUAUCUCAUCCACUCAUAUGAUAGGGUAAAAUCAUAUGAACCUCCAUCAACUCUCACCAACUGAAUAACUUCAUCUACGUGAUUACAUUAUAUCAGUAGAGUCAAGAUCGUCUCAUUCACAUGAUACUCACAAGUCAAUACACCCUAACAACAAUCUCAACACGGUAUUUUCUUCCCUGAAAAUACUAUGCCUUGAUCUUACUUUCACAUCAUUGCACACUUCAUUUAACACAUCAAUACACUAUGCAAUCAUAACAUAUAAUUUAACUUUCUAACAAUCCGAAUAUAUCCAAGAAGUUAUUUAAUAAUAGUAAUCCAAAAUAAACUAUGCUAAAAUAAUAAUAAUAGUAAUAUCCAUAUAUGUAUACAAAAUUUUGGAUUGAUCGAAAAUAUUUUAGGUUGAUCUUAAGGACACCAGAGAGCACCAGAAAAUUUGGAUUGAUCGAAAAUAUUUUAGGUUGAUCUAAAUGACACCAGAGAGCACCAGAAAAUUUGGAUUGAUCGAAAAUAUUUUUAGGUUGAUCGAAAUGACACCAGAGAGCACCAGAAAUUUUAGAUUGUUCGAAAAUAUUUUUAGGUUGAUCGAAAUGAUACCAGAGAGCACCAGAAUUACAAAGUCCAUGCUAUAGCUGAAAAUUACUCUAAAUCAACUUCAAGCAACCAAAAAUCAACAACAUUAUAAUUUUAUAACAGCAAUCAUAUCAAACUAGUGUAGGAAUCAAACUGAACAUAAAAAAAAAAAAACAAAUAUAAAUCAAACUUUGUAUAGAGGAAUCAAAAGUCUGCGUUGCAUUGAAUAUUGAAAUGAACAGUGAGGUUCCAAAAUAAUAGGGAUACACUGAUAUGCAAAAUAAAACAACUUUAUACUUAACCAGAAAAAAGCAAUAAAGCAAUACAAACUUGCAAUGUUUAUUACAAUAGUGUAUAAACUUCAGAAAAGCAUACGAAAACUCUAAAGAACUAUCUACAAAUUUUCUUUUCUAUAUAUCAUAGUUGUUAUAGGCAAGGUGAGGUGCUGCAUCAAAUGAAUUUUGAACAAGUCAACCAAGUGCUAAAGUUUCAGAAAAGAAUACGAAAACUCUCAAGAAUUGUCUACAAAUUUUCUUUUCUAUAUAUCACAGCUAUUGUAGGCAAGAUGAUGUGCUGCAUCAAAUGAAUUUUGAACAAGUCAGGCAAGUGUCAAAGCUGCCAAUACAAUGAAGUAUUCUGACCUAGAGAAAAAAGCAAUAGACUAGCAUCCACAUGUGAGUCUUUCCCGAAGUGUGUUCAAAUUGCUCUGAGACAUGGAAACCCAAAUCUGAAAAGUAUCAUACAAUAUGCAUUUUGAAACUCUACUAUACAAAAAUGUGCAAUCCAAGUUUUGCACAAUUAGUGUGAAAAUUCAAAUAAAAUUAUUUUCAGAAUAUGCAAAGAACAAAAUUUAACUACAAGUGUCAAUGGAGGAAUAAUUGAUAUCUUUAUUAUGAAUGGAUUAAUCUAUAACUUGGUUAUUGUGAAUCCAUUGAGUUUUAUUCUAUCAUUGUUUUUCUCUAUUUUGUACUACAUUGUAUUGGCAGCUUUGUAUAAUCAGAAUGAGAGUAGUGCACAGUGGACAUUGAGGUGCCAAAAAAAUCAAACAAAGAUUCAAAAAUUUCUACUUAAAUAAAAAUCAUAAAUAAAUAAAAUUUCUAAAUUAUUCAAAAUUCUAAAUAAAUACAAAUCAUAAAUUAUUUAAGGUCAUACGUAAAUAAAAAUCUCCAAAAAAAUAAAAUUCCAAAUUAUGAAAAAUCUUAAAAAAAUAUAAAUCUAAAUUAUUUAAUAUCCUACUUAAAUAAAAAAAUUACAAUAAAUAAAAUACCUAAAUUAUUCAAAAUUCUAAACCUAUGCAAAUCCUAAAUUAUUCAAUGUGAUACUUAAAUAAAAAUGGUAAUAAAUAAAAUUCCUAAGUUAUUAAAAUUUAUAAAUAAAUUCAAAUCCUAAAUUAUUUUACAUUGUACUUAAAUAAAAAUUUAAAAUAAAUAAAAUUCCUAUAUUAUUAAAGUUUGUAAUACAAGACCUAAAUUACUUAAUGUUCUAAUUAAAUAAAAAUAAAAAAUCAAUUAAAUUUUUAAAUUAUACAAAAUCUGAAACAAAUACAUAUCCUAAAUUAUUUAAUGUCCUACUUAAAUAAUAAUUCACAAUAAAUAGAAUUUCUAAAUUAUUCAAAAUUUUAAACAAAUACAAAUUUUAAAUUACUUCAUGUCCUACUUAAAUAAAGUAUCUAAAAUACUCAAUAAAUACAAAUUUUAAAUUAUUUAAUGUCCUACUUAAAUAAAAAUCUGAAAUAUAUAAAAUUUCUAAAUUAUUUAAAAUUCUAAAUAAACACAAAUACUUACUUAGUUUAUGUUAUACUUAAAUAAAAAUCUCAAAUAAAUAAAUUUUUUAACGUUUUCCAAAAAUCGUAAAUAAAUACAAAAUAAAUGAAAUUUAUAAAUUUUCAAAAUUAAAAAUAAAUAUAAGUCGAAAAAAAUUUAAUGUUAUUCUUAAAUAAAAAUUAAAAAUAAAUAAAAUUUCUAAAUUAUUUAAUGCCAUUCUUAAAUAAAAAAUUUCUAUGUUUUCAAAAUUCUAAAUAAGUACAAAUCUUAAAUUAUUGUAUUUCCUACUUAAAUAAUAAUCUAAAAUAAAUAAAACUUCUAAAAUUUUCAAAAUCCAAAAUAAAUACAAAAUUUAAAUUAUUUAAUAUUAUACUUAAAUAAAAAUCCAAAAUAAAUCAAAUUCCUAACUGAUUCAAAAUUGCUAAAAAAAUAGAAACCCUAAAUAUUUAAUGUCAUAAUUAACAUCCUUAAUUUUACCCAUAUAUAAUUAAAUAAAAGUAAAACAAGUAAUAUCUAAUUACAAAUAAACAUAUACUACUUUCUUAUAUGUGUAUCUCAAAAGAAAUAUCUCUUCAUAGGGAUUUAAUAUAUACAUCAAAAGUUUUAAUAACAAAACAAAGCAUUCAAAUAAAACUAUCUCAUCCUUCAGCGGCUCACUAAGGAGCUUUAUUACCUGCAAUCUCAUCUGCUCCCAUGUAAAACACGAUCAUCACAGAUAAAGAAACAACACAAACAAAUAAUAGGGUAAGCUAUCUAUAUAAAAAGUUUUGAUAUAAUUUAAAUUUCAAAUUUAUAAGCAUAGUUCAUCAAUUCUCAUAUGAUUUCUCAAACCAUCAGGUGUCUAUUACAUUCAUAAAAUUCAUCAUCUUUCAUAUGUUAGACUUCUACUGACUCACAACACAAAGACACUUGCGGAAGACUCGUGCGUUGACUUAGACUCAGAGAUCUGCACUUGUCAUACUAUCUCACUGUGAAAUCCACACAGCUAUGCGCAUAAAGAAUCUCAAUAUCAUAUCUCUUCUAGUAUGACAGGGUUAACUCAUAUAACAGGUCAAGUUAGUUAUCUUUCAAACAACUUACCCAUUCAUAUGAACCUCCUUCGACUCUCACCACCUAAAUAACUUCAUCUAUAUGAUUCCAUUAUCUCAGGAGAGUCAAGAUAUCUCCUUCUAGACGAUCCCUAGUCAAUGCACAUCCUAAACAAUCUUAACACGGUAUUUUCUUUCCUAAAAAUACUAUGUUUUGAUUAAAAUUCAUAUUCUAAACAUCACAAUCUCCAACAUCAAACAAUCAAAUCAUUCCAAAUUUUAGAAUUUCCAAAACACACAACAAUUCAUUUACUACUCAUAUAAAUGUCUUGAAUCAAAAGGGCUGCAAAGUGUAUCUAAAUAACAUCAAGUUUUACUACCCAAAAAGAGAGACAAUAAAAGGAGAAUGAAAGAAAAUUAUCUCUCAACUACAACUAUAUCCAAUAGUUCUCAACUUCUUCAAAUUUGCAUUAGCAAGAACUAAUUCCAACAUGUAUUGUAAUACUUUAAUAUUUAGAAUUAUUGCAAGAUUGUUACACCAAUUACAAAAGGAGAAAAGAAAAGUAUUAUCCAACAUUGUAUAACAUUUAUAGAAUGAAAGAAAAAAGCAUGAACAAUAAAUGUUCUUCUUUUUACUUUACAUAUACCUAGCACCACAUAUCCAACAUUAUUUAAUAAAAAGGAUAAGAAAGCCACAACAUGAAAAUUAAAGUUUGGUCACCAAUUGUUAAACCCAACAACUAAUUUAUCUCAAAAGCACCAGAAUUCAGAUUACAAUCAACAUAGCAAUUCUCUAAAUAAUCAACUCAUAGUUUACUUUAAAAAUUGUCACAAACAAUUUUUAGCUCAUAAACUGAAUCAUGACGAAAUAAUCAAAAUAUAUGCUCUGAAAUUGUCAAGAAAAAUCAUCACAAACAUUUUUCAAAUACAUUAUAUACAUUCUACACUUAUAUACAUUCUACACCGUCUACUAUAUCUAAAUUUUUCAUUUCAAUCUCAAACAAUUUCCAAUCUACACAAAAACAAGAGAUCGUGCAAGAAAAUUUGAAACUGGUGACCACGUCACCCCCACAUCCAGAUCUUCUAGCCUAGGGUUCUAUUUGGCAAUUUAAAACUAGCUUUCCUUACCUGAAUUUUGACUGAUGCUCGCUAGGAGCUCCAAAUCUACCAAAAGCCUAAAGGUAAUUUAACCUGCACCACAGAAUCCUGAUAAAAAUCUAACUAUAUAACUAGGACCUUUUGUUAACAAAAUUAACCCUCCUGAAGCUAAAAGAAUCAUAUGCAAAGCAUAAAUCUAAUAAGAUCAAAAUUAACUCAAAAGAAAAAGGGGCCAAGAAUGAACUUACUCUAUCUGAGAUUUUGAUCGAACAAUCUUAUAGGGUUCACUGCCAGGAGUCCAAUGGCAGACUCCGAUUGCCAAACUGAUAAGCGAGAAGGUUAGAAUCUUAGGGAGAAGGGAAAGAAAAGGAAAAAGAGGAACAAAACUGAACUUACUCUAUAAGAGAUUCUGAUCGGGCAGUCUUGUAGUCUUCGCUGCCAGGAGUCCAAUGGCAGACUCCGAUCGCCAAACUGAUAAGUGAGGAGAUCAGAAUCUUAGAUAGAAGGGAGAGAAAGGAAAAUUGGAACUUGUAGAGAGAUGGUGGUUAUUUUAAAAUGAAACCUGAAUAACCGAAUUUUCUAUUUGUUCCCGCCGGUUGACCUGGGUUGUCUUUAUGCGUGGCUUGUCCUCACGAGCUAGGGCACCUUCGUUCUGGUCCGUCUGUGAGUACCUGAAAAGAAGUGAACAAAAGGGGCGCCCUCGCGACCGUUUGCACUCCGACGAUCAAGUCAACUAGCGAGAAGCAUCAAAGGUGACGCACCUCCGUAUCGGAACACCGUAAACGAAUGCUCUGAAGGUGGUUAGAAAUAACUGAGUGGCUAAAACUGUGUUGCCCUAAUCGUUUUUCUGCACACAAUGGGUGCGCCGUCACAACAACUAGGGUUUGUGCUCUUGUGUAGACUGUGAGAAUUAGGUUAAAACUCAGAUCCUUUUCAAACGUCCCAAGGUCCCUUUUUAUACAUCUCUCGCAUUUAAAACGCGUUAAAGCGCAUUGAAAGCGUAUAAAAAUAUUCCUUGGAACGUUCGAAUCUUAACUGAAUUAACGCGUACCUUAGCGAACUUUUACAAAAGCCUUGAUGUUUUCAAUGCUUAUUGCCACGUGUUCUUCUGACUUAAUCGUGACUCUUCGUGGAGGGCCCUAUAGCGCCGUAACCCAAUUUAGGGUUAAUCCAUCGUGCAAACCCUCCUUUCUUGAAGUGCAUUUGGCGCAAGUGGGUGACUUUCUGGGUGCCAACUCAUGCGCCCCAACUUCUAGUCACUCGCCUUGGGAGUGUAUCUACCUUCCUCUCACACCAAGCACCUGGUUCACCCCUGGGCAUGACCCUCUCGUGGGUCGUAUCUAUCCCGGGGGUCUCCCUGAGGUGACGUGGGUACUUCACGAGUCAGGUUACUCCCUGCUGGUACCAGAACUAUGGCCUUGAAGCCACCUUUCUCUUCUCUUUGUAACUGCUCUGGGCCACACCUUAACCUGGCAAUGCUUCAACCUGGCGAUGCCUUCCUUAGGCGACGCCUCCUCUUGGCGACGCCUUACCCUGGUGACGCCUUCUCUUGGCAACUCCUUCUCCUGGCGACGCCUUCUCCUGGCGACGCCUUCUCCUGGCGACGCCUUCAGUGGUCAAUCUGUUGACUUCCCUUCUUUGGGGCCCUCGAGUGGUCCCACCAUAUGUUGACUUUGACUUUGGUCAACGCCCAAGGACGGGACGGUGCACUAUUUAUAUGUCAUUUUCAUUUUAAUAAUAAAAUAUUCAGGUAUCAUUUAAAAUAUACCACUUCUACUCUAAGGUUAUUUUCUAGAUCCUUACAUCAUACGUAAAUAAAAAUACAAAAUAAAUAAAAUUCUUAAAUUAUGUAAAAUCUUAAAUAAAUACUAAUCUAAAUCUAACAUAUUUAGUGUCUUACAUAAAUAAAAUAUGAAAUAAAUAAAUCUACAAAACAUAAGCGGGAUGGAAAAUUUUUUGUACGUUAAAUGACUUCAAAAAAAAGGUGAUAAAAUUGUUUUUGAAAUAGAGGUUUACAUACCCAGUCCUAAAUAAAUACAAAAUCUAAAUGAUUUAAUGUUUCACUCAAAUAAAAAUUUGAAAUAAGUUCAAUUCCUAAAUUUUUAAAAAUCCUAAAUAAAUACAAUCCUAAAUUAUUUAAUGUCAUACUUAAAUAAAAAAUCGUAAUAAAAAAUUUAUAAAUUGUUUAAAAUUCUAAACAAAUACAAAUACUAAAUUAUUAAAUGUCAUAUUUAAAUAAAAAUUUGUAAUAAAUAAAAUAUCUCAAUUAUUUAAAAUUAUAAAUAAAUACAAAUCUAAAUUAUUGAAUGUCAUACCUUCAUAAAAAAUUAUAUUAAAUAAAAAUCCUAAAUUAUUUAAAAUUGUAAAUAGUUACAAAUUCUAAAUUAUUGGAAUUAUUUCAAAUUUUAAACAAAUACAAAUUAUUUAAAAUUUUAAACAAAUAAAAAUCCUAAAUUAUUUAAUGUACUACUUAACUAAAAUAUCUGAAAUAAAUAAAAUUAUUUAAUUAUUUAAAAUAUUAAUAAAUAAUAAUUCUAAAUUAUUUAAUGUUCUACUUAAAUAAAAAUUUAAAAUAAAUUAAAAUUUUAAAAUAUUCAAAAUCCUAGGUAAAUCUUAACUUAUUUUAUGUCAUACAUAAAUAAAUUUUAAAUUUUUUUUGAAUAAAUAGUAAACCAGAAAUUAUUUUAUUUCUUACUUAAAUAAAAAUAUAAAAUAAAUAACAUUUCUAAGUUUUCAAAAUUCUAAAUAAAAAAAAUUCAAAAAUUUGUAAUAUCAUUCUUAAAUAAAAAUAAAAAAUCAAUAAAAUUUCUAAAUUAAUCAAAAUUUUAAAUGAAACCAUAUCUUAAAUUAUUUAAUAUCAUUCUUAAAUAAAAAUCUAAAAUUAAUAAAAAAAAUUAGUUUUCCAAAAGGCUAAAUAAAUAAAAAUCUAUACAAAAUAGGGAUAUAAUUUUGACAACUACUUCGAUGACCCGAUCUAGAAAAUAAAUAUGAUGGGAACAUAAAUAAUUCACGUGGUGCAUAUUUAAUGUGGUUUAAAUUGUACAGAAUUGGAUUGCUGUGUAUAUAAAAAAUAUAGCGUUCAUAUUCAUGUGUAUUGAAUUAAAUUUAUAAUAUUUUUUUUCUACUUUAUUAUUGAAAGUUAGGUAAAGAAUAGAAAUAUUAUAGAACGAGUUUAUUACGUUUCCCAAAAAGAGAGUAAAAUAUUGUGUAGAAAUUAAAGAUGCCUAAUAAGAGUUGAGGUAUUAUUUAUAAAUAAACAAUGAAAAAAUAAUGAUGCCUUCAUACUUCACCAGAUUCUUAACUGCCUUUUUAAUAGAUUCUACCUUCCUUAUUAUCAUUUCAUUUAAUACAGUUUCUUAAACGGAUACACGGUUUCAUGUCUCUGAAUUAUGCUUCUAAAUUAUAGGGGUUGACCAAGAAUAAGAAGAAGAUGGGGAUAUAAUAAUUACAACUACCAAACAUGAUGGCCCCAUCUAGAAAAUAAAAAUCUAAAAUAAAUAAAAUUUAUAAGUUUUUUAAAAUUCUAAAUUAAUAUAAAUUUUAAAAAUUUAAUGUCAUUCUUAAAAAAAUUUAUUAUUUAAUUGCAUUUUUAAAUAAUAAUAUAAAAAUUAAUUAAAUUUUUAAGUUUUUCAAAAUCUUAAAUUAUUUUAUUUCCUACUUAAAUAAUGAUUAAAAUAAAUAAAAGUGAUUACAUACGAAUUUUUGCGUAUUUAAUUCAGUAUAUAAAUAGACGUUACAUACUGAUUUUUUUUAUAUGUAAGCCAAAAGUGAUUAUAUAUGUUUUUAAUCAGUAUGUAAUUUUGACUUCACAAAGCGAGAAUAAUUACAUACGGAUUGUAUCCGUAUAUAAAGUAUUACAAACAAAAUAUUUUUAAUAAUUGUAAUAAUAAUAAUAUUGAUAUUAAUGGUAAUAUUGAUAUUAAUAUUUUUAUUAAUAUUAAUGAUAAACAACCGGUUGAAUUUUUGUUAAUCAAGUUAAACAAUUUUGUUUGAUUUCUUUCUUGAUUUCUGUAUCUGUGAUUCUGCAUUGAAGUUCAUUAUACUUUCAAAGUUUGCGAAAAUCUUUCAUAAACAAUUCAUCUCCCCCCUCUUAUUUAAUGCCAUAUAUUCUAAUAAAAACUUCCUCAACUUGAGAAGUAAAACCCACGGACCUAGUCCAGAAAAUGCCUCCCCUAUGAAAGUAGGAUUACAAUAUUUGUUUCUCUCACUCUAUGAGGAUAACACUUAAUCUCACCCAAGAAGAAUGGAAUACAAAGUCUCUUUAGCAUCCCACUCACCAUUAUGGUGGUUAUCUAUUCUCUCAUUUACACUUUAUCUCUUCUCCUUGCUUGUCUUUUUUCUUUCUCACAAGUUUCCUUUAUAUAGAGAAUGAGAGUAAGACUUCUUCAUAAAGAGAUAGUAGAUAAUUAAUGCUUAUCACAUUUUCAAGAGAGAGUUACAAAUUCAAGACUUUUGAAAUGACCAUCAUUGAAUAUAUUCAAUGGAUCAAUUACCAAUAUUCAUUGGUCGGGAUCUCCUAGUAAACUAAGAAGGGAUUCCCAACAUAAGGUUCAACAAAACCAUAUAAAUAAGAGCAAAAAUGAAAAAAGUCUAUGAAAUGUUUGAAAACAUCAGAAUACCAAUCACCUACCUAAGCCCCUAUUUGGAUUGGGGGGUGGCACUGUAGCCGCAAACGGAUGUGGGGUGCCACCCCCGUUUGGAUCUAGUCAUGGUUGAGGGUGUGGGUGAGGGUGAGGGGAAAGUUGGGCCAAAUGAGAGAGCAUUCAGAAGUGAAGAGAAAGGAGAGGGUGAGGGAGUGAGUGCCAAGUAGGAUGAGUGAAAUAUCAUUUGUGCCCUCACUAGAUUUUUGGAUGUAUGUGGGCAUUGUACGUGAAACAUGCAUGCACAUUUGUGAAGAGAAGCUUUUCAGCAACAAGCACAUGAGAUUCCUGACCAUUGUUCAGGAAUCUGUUUGACCAAGUUAAAAGCUCAAUGAAUGCAUAGGCAAGUUGGUGAGAGGGUGGAUGAGCGUAAUAAAGAGGUGCAACAAUAUAUAUGUGGUUCCCAAGCUCACAAACCUCACAAAGCAAAGGCAAUUUGGUUCUUCACAAAGCACAUACCUAGAGAGCUUGGAGAGGGUCGUGAGUGCGCUUGGUUCUUUGUUUGUAACCUCAGGUGAGCUUUGUGUGAGUUUAGUUUCAUUCUUAAUCGAUUAUCACUGAAAAUGAACGUAUGCCAUAAUCGAUUAUGUUGAAAAAAAUAGUUGAUAAUCAAUUAUGUUCAUGACAUAAUCGAUUAUCUGUAAAAAUUCCCGUGAGAUAAUCAAUUAUGGUCGUUUUUGCACUGGAAGCAUAAUCGAUUAUGUGCCAUAAACAUUUGGAUAAUCGAUUAUGUGCUAUUUUACACUGGGGUGAUAAUCGAUUAUGGUUCUAAUUUUCCAGAUUUAUGAUUUUAUGUUUUUUGAACUAAUUUUUGAAUGAUUUUUUUUUUCAGGUAAAGUUUGAUAAAUCUUAGACUUGCAUUGUGUUGUGGUUUUGUUCUGCUCUCUUGAGGUAUGUGUGUUUUUUUUUUUAAAUUGUGUUUGGAUGUUUAGUUUUAUUUUGAAUUUAAUUUGUUUAAAAUAUUUUAAAGUAGUUGUUAAUUAGUUUUUAAUUUUAGAUGUGAAUGUUUAGGAAAAUUGAUUAUCUAAAAUUGUAUAUUGUUAAUGUAAAAAUUUCAUGAAAUUUGAAUAUGUUAUUUUUGUGACAUGAAUUGAAUUGAAUUUAUAGAUUGAAAUUAGAGAUUUAAAUUUGUUAUUCUAAAAUAUUGUUUUUAAAAAGAUAAUAAAAUUUUUUGCAGUAAUUUAAAAACAGAAAAAUCAAAUAUACAGAAGAUUUUUUUUUUUAUUUUAACUUUGAAGCUGUUAAUAAAUAAAUUUUUUAUUUAAAUUUACAGAAUAGACUACCUUUUAGAAAUUAUUAUUUUUACAGAAUGUAAAUAUUAUUUUUAAUGUUAUUUUUUAAAACAAAUAUUUUAUUAAUUAAAAAAACAGAAAAAGAUUACAUAAUAAAUUAGAAUUUUUAAUAAUAUGUGUACAUAGUUAAUGCUAUUAUGAAAAAAUUAAAACAAAUAUUGUAGUAAUUAAAAAAAACAGAAAAAAUUACAUAAUAAAUUCGAUUUUUUAAUAAUAUUUGUAGAUAGUUAAUAUUUUUUUAACAUUUAAUGUUUUAUAAAAGAAAUAUUUAUUUAUUUGAAAUGAUUAUUUUUAUAGAAUGGAAAUACAAAUUUUGAAUGUUAUAUUUAUAAUUUUUUUCCAUUUUACAUAGACAUACCAUAAUGUUAUGAAAAUAUAUAUAAUUUAUUUCUCAUAAUUUACAUAAAUUGUUAAUAUUAUUAUUUAAAAAUUAAAUAUAAUAUUGUAGUAAUUUAAAUAAAACAGAAAAAGAUUACGUAAUAAAUUAAAAGUUUUACUAAUAUGUGUACAUAGUUAAUAUUUUUUGAACAUCAAAUUGUUUAUAAAAAAUAGAUUUAUUUAUUUGAUAUUAUUAUUUUUACAGAAUAGAAAUAGAAAUUUAGAAUUUUUUUUAUAUUUUUUAAAAUUAAAUUCUUUAUAAAUAAUACAUUUAUUUAUUUAUAGUUAAUAUUUUGACAUGAUGCAUUAAUUCAUAUUUGACAUGUUAUAAAUAAUAAAUGUUAACAGAAGUUUUUAUAGAAAUUAAUAAUGUUAUAGAAAGUUUUAUUGUUACAUACUGGAAAAUGUAAUUAAAAAAAUUAAUAAUGUUAUACAAUUUUUUAUUUUUUAUUGUUACAAAAUGUAAAUAUAAUUUAAAAUAUUUAAAAUAUUAUGGUACUAAAACCCUAAAUCAAAAAAGUUAAGAGAACAUAUAUUUAUUUCUUGAUUGAUUAAAUUAUAAUUUUGUUAGUCUAUAUUUAUUUUGUUAUAUUAGAUAAAUUAAAUGAUAGAGUCAUUUACAAUAGAAUGUUUAUUAUAAUUAUUUAAAAUUAGAUAUUAGGGUUACUGUAUUGGUGUAGUUUUACACUGAAACGGUAACUGCAUUCGAUAUGUUGUAUUGACACUUAUCCAUAUCCAUAAUCAUGGUUCUGAAUCAAAGUUCUACAUUUUGUGGAUAACAUUAUGAAUUCGGGUAGCCAUUACGACGAGGCAGAAAUGGUACAUUUUGAGGAAACGGUUGCAAUUUAUGAUGACCUUGUUGCGGCGAACAUGAAUUUAAUUUCACAAAUACAAGAACAAAUUAAAAAAAAUACUGAAGGUGCUUCUGUGAUGAUCCUUUGUAUGUUGGUUUUGGAUUGAAUUUGUUACGUACGGUGUGUACUACAAGGAACCGUAUUAGUGAGUUCCAACCACAAAAAGAGCGUCGCAGACAAGAAUUGAUGGAGUACUUGGUUCACACUGAACAAUGUCGUGAUAUUAUUCCCAUGGGACCAGAAGCUUUCCUUCAAUUAUGUCAAUGAAUACGAGGAACUGGACUUGUUAAAGAUGCAUAUCGAUCAACCGUGGAAGAACAAGUUGUGAACUUUCUACACAUUAUUGGGCAUAAUGUGAAGAAUCGAAGUGUGUCAUUCUUUUUUCAUCGGUCUGGAGAAACAGUUUCCCGUCACUUUCAUAAUGUUUUGAGUGCAAUAUUAAGGUUGGAGGGGGAAUUCUUAAUUCAACCAAAUGGAAUGGUUGUAGAAUCGCACAUCCUUAACAACAAUCGAUUUUACCCCUACUUUAAGGUUUGUUUAUGAUAAUAUUAUUUUAAAUCACGUAUCAUGUUUUAUUUAUUUUGUGUUUAAUAAAACUUAUGAAAUUUGGUUUACAUUAGCAUUGUUUGGGGGCAAUAGAUGAAACUCAUGUAUGUGUUAAGGUUUUACGUGCUGAUGCACCUCGUUUUCGAGGGAGAAAAGAUUGGCCAACUCAAAACAUAUUUGUAGUGUGUGACUUUAACAUGAAGUUCACAUAUGUCCUGGCCAGUUGGGAAGGAACAACCUUGGAUUCAAGGAUAUUAAAAGACGCUUUGGUACGAGACGAUCCUUUGGUUAUUUCAGAAGGUUAGUUUUAGGGGAUUGAGUGUGCAGAAGAAUAAAUAGGUUAUAGUAGUAUAUACUAACACAACUUUCCAAUAUUUUGUAGGAAAAUACUAUCUUGGUGAUGCAGGUUUUAUGUUAAAACCAAAUAUAAUAAAAUCUUAUCGCGGGGUUAGAUACCAUUUGAAAAAAUAUUCGCGAAGAGGACCACAAAAUGCUAAAGAGCUAUUUAAUCUUCGACAUUCAUCACUUAGAAAUAUAAUUGAGUGAACAUUUGGGGUAAUGAAAAAACGAUUUCCAUUUAUUAGUAUAUGUUUAUGUUUGUUUUUUAUAUAUUAAUAUUUGGUUUUUAAUUUUUUAUUUCGCGUCUCUUUAUGUGUUUUAAAUUAUUAAUUAUUGUAAAAUUCAUUUUACUUUAUUUUUUAAUAUAUUGAUCUUAUCUAUUAUUAUUAUUAGUUUAUGUAAUUGUUAAUUAAUGUAAUUUUGACUUAUAAAUUAUGAUAGAACUCAUAUUAAUGUCAAAUUUAAUAUUUUACGUUUUAGAAAAUCAAAUUUAAUUUAAUGUAAAUUUUCUAUAAUUUAUUUAAUAUUAUAAUAUUAUUAUUUAAAUAUGAAAGCUUAGAAAAAAUAACCGUUUGUUGCACGGUCAAAGUUCUAGUAGAAAUAGAAAUAGAGGGGCACGUGACGUCUCCUUUUGAUUACAGCUAAUAAGAAUCCAGAAAUCUUUGAAGGGUCCCGGAAUAAUGUAAUCACCUUCCUUAUUAUCAUCUAAAUUAUUGGGGUUGACCAAGAAUAAGAAGAAGAUGGGGAUAUAAUUGUUACAACUACCAAACAUGAUGUCCCCAUCUAGAAAAUAAAAAUCUAAAAUAAAUAAAAUUUAUAAGUUUUUUAAAAUUCUAAAUUAAUAUAAAUCUAAAAAAUUUUAAUGUCAUUUUUAAAAAAAAAUAUAAAUUAUUUAAUUGCAUUUUGAAAUAAUAAUAUAAAAAUUAAUUAAUUUUUUAAGUUUUUAAAAAUCUUAAAUUAUUGUAUUUCCUACUUAAAUAAUGAUUAAAAUAAAUAAAAUUUAUAAAAUUUUCAAAAUUCUAAAUAAAUAUAAAACUUAAAUUAUUUAAUGCUGUAUUUAUAUAAAAAUCCAAAAUAAAUUAAAUUUUUAAAUUAUUCAAAAUUGCUAAAAAAACUAAAAACCGUAAAUAUUUAAUGUCAUACUAAAUAAAAAUACAAAAUAAAUAAAUUUUUUAAAUUAUUUAAAAUAUUAAAUAAAUACAAAUCUAAAAUAUUUAGUGCCUACAUAAAUAAAAUCUAAAAUAAAUAAAUCAACAAAACAUGAGCGAGAUGGAAGAAUUUUCGUAUGUUAAAUAACUUCAAAGAAGACGAUAAGAUUGUUUUUGAAGCAAAUGUUAAUAUAUCAAAUAAUGAAAUUCGAGUUAUUCACCUUUUAGGAUAAAUUCAUUUUUUAUGAAACUGUUUAUUUUUAGUUAGUUUCUUCAAAAUUUGUGUCAGUUUGUUGAUAGUUAAACAAUUUAUUUAUUUGUGUAUAUUAUUUAUGUUUAAGCAUUGUUUAUAUUAAUUUUAGUAUGUUUAGUUUUUUAUUUAUUCGUAUAUGCUCAUGUUUAUUUCUUAUAUAUUAAUAUUUACUUUGUAAUUAAUUAAUUUAUUUUUCUAUUUACAUUUGCAUUCAUAUAUUUAAUUAUAAAAAAUAUAUUUUUAUACAAAAUAGUGAAAGAAAACGUGCCAAAUAAAUCAACAAAAUUUGGAGUGGGAUGGAAAAAUUUAUGUAUGUUCAAUGACUUCAAAGAAGACAAUAAAAUUAUUUUUGAAGCAGAAGUUAUCAUACCAAAUAAUGAAAUUCUAGUUAUUCGCCUUUUAAGAUGAAUAAUUUUUUUUACAUAACUUUUUAUUAUUACUUAUUUUUCUCAAAAACUUUGUGUUGUUGAUACUUGAACAAUUUAUUUAUUUACAUGUAUUAUUUAUGUUUAUGCAUUGUUUAUAUUAAUUUUAGUAUGUUUAGUUUUUUACUUAUUCAGAUAUGCUGAUGUUUAUUUCUUAUAUAUUAAUCGUUGCUUUGUAAUUUUUUUUUAUUUAAUUUUUUCUUUACAUUUACACUUAUAUAUGUAUAUGUAUUUAAUUACGUAAAUUAUAUUCUUAUACAAAAUAGUGAAAGAAAAUGUGUCAAAUAAAUGAACAAAACUUGCGGCGAGAUGAAUUUUUUUUUGUAUGUUAAAUAACUUCAAAGAAGGUGAUAAGAUUAGUUUUGAAACAGAUGUUAACAUACCAAAUAAUGAAAUUCGAGUUAUUCAUCUUUUAGCAUGAUUUUUUUUACAUAACUGUUUAUUAUUACUUAUUUCUCUCAAAAUUUGUGUCAGUUGUUGAUACUUGAACAAUUUAUUUAUUUAAGUUUAUUAUUUAUCUUUAUACAUUGUUUAGAUUAAUUUUAGUAUGUUUAGUUUUUUUGUUUAUUCAUACAUGCUAAUGUUUAUUUUUUAUACAUUAAUAGUUGUUUUGUAAUUUAUUUCUUAUAAGAACAAAAGUGAUUAUAUACGGAUUUAAUUCAAUAUGUAAAUAGACAUUACAUACUAAUUUUUUUCAUAUGUAAGCCAAAAAUGAUUAUAUACAAAUUUAGUCAGUAUGUAAUUUUGGCGCCAUGAAGCAAGAAUAACUACAUACGGAUUGUAUCCGUAUAUAAAGAAUUACAUACAAAAAUAUUUUUAAUAAUUGUAAUAAUAAUAGUGAUAAUAUUGAUAUUAAUAUUAAUAUUAAUGAUAAACAACUGGUUGAUUUUUUGUUAAUCAACUUCAACAAUUUUGUUUGAUUGCUUUAUGGAUGUCUGUAUCUGAGAUUCUGCAUUGAAGUUCAUUAUACCUUCAAAGUUUGUGAAAAUUUUUCAUAAACAAUUCAUCUCCCCUCUGGUUUAAGACCAUAUAUUCUAACAAAAACUUCCUCAACUUGAUAUGUAAAACCCACGGGAUCUAGUCUAGAAAAUGCUUCCCCUAUAAAAGUAGGAUUACAAUAUUUGUUUCUUGGGAGGAUAACACUUAAUCUCACCCAAUCUAUUCUCUCAUUUAAGCUUUAUCUCUUUUUUCUUUCUCACAAGUUUCUUUUCUUUUAUAUAGAGAAUGAGAAUAAGACUUCUUCAUAAAGAGAUAGUGGAUAAUUAAUGCUUAUCACAUUUUCAAGAGAGAGUUACAAAUUCAAGACUUUUGAAAUGACCAUCAUUGAAUAUAUUCAAUAGAUUAGUUACCAAUAUUUAUUGGUCAGGAUCUCCUACUAAAUUAAGAAGCGAUUCUCAACAUAAGAUUCAACAAACCAUAUAAAUAAGAACAAAAAAAAAAAAAAGUCUAUUAAAUGUUUGAAAACAUCAUAAUACCAAUCACCUACUUAAAUGUUUGAAAACCUUUUGUAGGUACAAUCCUCGUAGAAACCCAAGACCAAAUGCAAAAAUAGAAAGUGGAAGGAAACAUUACUAUGAUAAAGAGAAGUUAUUAUAUCAGCCUUCUACAAUAACAAUGAACAUAAAUAUUGUUUGAACAUUAAAAUUUUCUAUUAUUAUUUUAAAAAAUAAGAUGGUAAAAUAUGAGUUUCAUUCGAGUAAAAUUAAAAUAAACUAAAACUAUUAAAAAAAUAUCUUACCAAAUGUAAAUAAAAUGGUUUUAUUUUAGAAUGCUUUAUAAAAUACAUUAAAUCGAUUUACUCAACUACGAAGAUAAGAAAAACAUCUCUUCUUCAAACAAUGGUUUAUUAUGUGCUAUUGGUUUGUUUUAGUAAGUCAUAAACAAUAGAUUAAGUAACUUUUCAAAAUUUUACUAAGGAAAACAUCAUAGGUGAAACAAGAGACUCUUCCUCAUCAAGUUACACUUUCAUUAAAAAAAACUAAUAAACAAGUGUGUACCAAAAAAAAAAGUCUUAUAAUGGUACAACUUUAACUAAUAAAUAAUAAAAAAUUACUUUAAUUGCCACUUUUAUGCAAAGUGUUAUCUCCUUGUAAUGAUUUAUUCAAUCUUGAAUAAAUUUUAGAAUCUUAAUAUGAAGUCAUGGGUUGAUCACUGAGGGGCAAUCCAAUUAAUAUAUUAUAACAGUCCAAUCCAAGAAAUUAAUGACGAUACCCGCAUAAUCGUCAUAAAGAAGAGAGUGCAAAAUUAGUGGAGGUGGAGAGUUACGAAAAUAUAAGAAGGAAUUAAGUUAGUAAAUAGAACAAUUACAAAGAAAGGCAAGAGAGAAGUUUUAUAAGAAAGAAGAGAGGCCAAAGGGGAAAAAAAAUUGGAAACUGUUUUCGAAUACCAUUGAUUCUCUACCUAAGGAUCAUCUCUAUCGGCUAAUUAAUAGAAACCAUCAUAUCGACUAUUUUGACCUGCAAUGCAUGCUCAUUUUGCAUUUUUUAUUUUAUUUAUAAUAAAGUGAUUUGUUUACAAUAGAAAAUAACAUUUUUUUUUAGAUUUUUAAGGUUACACACAUCAUUACCAAAAAGAAAGAACAUUUCCAAAAAAAAAAAAACAAUUGACAGAGAGUACAAUUUAAAGACAUCAUCUUACACCUGGUAUAAGUUUUAAACAAAUAUUCUAGUGAAUGUUUUCAUUAUUAGCUUACUCAUCAAAUCUUCAAACUCCUCUGGUUUUUUCAACCUUUCAACCACACAAUUCAAUAGCUUCUCUAAUUUGAGAAGGAGGAAGUGUCACUGUAGUCCAAUCCAAUAGUGGAAUCCUCUGCUUUGGUUCUAGGGUGAUACAAAAUUUGUAUUUAUCCCUUUCCUAUUUGCCACAGUAUUUAGUGUUUCCAACACGUCCAAAUCAGGAAACCUCAGCUUUGCUUCCAAGAGUCCACCGUAAACUCCACUCAAGUAUGUUCUAUUUUCAGCUGAGGGUAUUAUCUCCAUCCCUUUAGGUGUCCAUUCAAUUCCAGAACCCUUCGCCAAGGCAAUGCUAAUGGUGUCAGCAAUAUCUAGAGAAGGAAAUCUAUUUUGUGCCUCAAAAACUCCAUCUUUCAUUCCUUCAUACCAUAAUUCUCGCGUUAUUGCUUCCUCCUCCUCAC